rnacentral:lncRNA from 1 species
GGAACGACACUGCCGCCACCCUGGGCAAGGACAGCAAGCCCUUGGAGUAGAUGGUAGUAGCACCAUGACCUUAGAGUCCGACUACUUCAUUGCCUAUGGUAUUGUCUUUAGGAAUAAUGUUGUAGUAGCAGCGAAGAAGAAGAAGAAGACAGAAGGCGAGGCUCCUUCGUUGCGGGUGCAAGGAACAAAGGCAACCUUCUACAACUGCAGCGUAACACCCAAAAUCUUAACAGGUGAAUCAAGGAACAAAGGCAACCUUCGUUGUGAGGGCGCCUGUGUGCCCAACGUACAUCGCACAGGUGAGGCCCCGUCGCUGCAACGUCUGUGUCGCCGUCGCCGUCACCGGUGUCGGGGUUGGGGAAGAGUGGGGCGAUCGUGGAUCUUCAGAUGUGUGGUUCAAAUUAGAUGUGGGCUAAUGCUUCGCCUUGAAGCGAUCUGAGCCGCAGAUCCGUUAACUGAUGGGGUGGAAUAGAUCAGGCCAGCACUGAAUCUCGGGCGUGGAUCUUGAAUCCUACGGUGGCUGUCGUAUAUCGAGUUGAGCUUAGAUCUGGGCCGCGGAUGUCCGAUCCAAUAGCACUGAUCAGACCAAGUCUACCGGUUCGCCUAGAUCUAAUCAGUGCCCUCGAUUCUAGAUCGGGCGGCUGCGAUAAACCAGUACCCCUUCAGCUCGGCCAGUUUGCUAAAGAGCCCCUAUGGAAACAGUGAAUUAACCCGCAGUCCAUCCCUAUAUUAGGAUCAUUACAUAAUUGUCCAAACAUUUGUAAAAGUAACCUUGCGCUCUUAUAAAAUUAUGGCCGCAACCCACUGGUCUCGGUUAGUUGGUAAUAAUUAAUUUUAAAAGAUAUUUGAUAUAGAAAUAAAUCUAGAAAUCUAUAAAAUUCAUGAUUCCUUUAUUUUAACUCUAAAUUGAUUCAUUCCAGUUGCAUUAAAUUCAUAAAAAUAUUGUUUUGUCAUCUGGUAACCUUAGUUUGCUAUGAAACCUAGAUAAGAAAAAAUAUACACUUAGUUUCUUUCAUAUCCAACACUUAAAUCUUCAGAAAAUCAUAACUCUUUAACCGUAACUCUAAAUUUAGUGGUUCUUGAACCUAGGUUCUCGCUACGACACAUAGAUCAUUAUUAUGCAGUUUGUUCUUAUGUUUAGUGUGAUGUUAAUUUUUCCUAUACCAUGUUUGUUUGUAUUGCGACGAAUAGCAGUGUGGUUGCAAAUCACUUGAAGACCAACUGACUACCUGGGAAUCUCGCGUCUAAAGCAAGCUGUGUCCUUGAUCACUCUUCUUUACCUAAUAAUGUUCUUGUUAAUCACUGUGACAUGCUCAAGUUAAUUUGAUGGGACCUAAUAGGUUUCCCUAGUAUUGUUUAUCCCACGCCUUGCAAACAUAUGAACUAUUGGUAGAUUUGCUAUUGCUCUACCUAGUUUUGGGAAAUUAAUCUUAUACUAUGAUCAUGUUCCAAUUAUGCUGUUGUUUAAUUAUUGUUCAUGACAAGAUCAUUGUGUUAAUUGGAACAUGGAGCUUAACUUGAGAUAACAGUGCUACCACAAGGGUGGAAUGGGACGCCCUUGGCCAAGUAAUUAGGAAAGCUAGGGAGAGAUUACCUUACCCAGAAGGGGCAAGCAGGGAGGCAUCACUGCUAGAGUAUAGGGAGGUCCUCGGGUCGAACUUUCUGUGAAGCUUUUCGGACGAGGGAUUCCUCUACUUCCUUCGUCCUGAAUCCGUAGCCGGGCUUUCUCGAACUGGUGGAACUUUGGAAAGGAGUGGUAGUGCUACCCUGCCUCAUUUCCUCGGUAGAGGUGUAUGGGGUCCGAUCAACCCCAUGGCAAAUGGGUAACACGACUUGUGGGUAAAGAUGUGCAACCUUUGUAGAGUGUAAAACUGGUAUAUCAGUCGUGCUCACGGUCAAGAGAGACUCAGGACUCUCGCAUGAUUAAUUUAUGGAACUAAACUUCAGGACUCUCGCAUGAUUAAUUUAUGGAACUAAACUUAAUCUGUCAUAUACAUUGCAUCGCGGGUGUUUUUAUCAAUUGUGAUCUCUUAUUUAAUUGGGUUGGUAUCUACUUAUACCUAGUAACUGCUAAUAAAAUUUUGAUCAACUUUAAAAGCAAUGCUCAGCUUUAACCAUCUCCUUUGGUAAGCCUUACACUUCAUAUGAGCUCCCACCCUUGGUGAGUUUAUGCACAUUAUUCCCCACAACUUGUUGAGCAAUGAACGUAUGUGAGCUCACCCUUGUUGUACUCACAUCCCCACAGGUCAAGAAUAGGUACCACUGGACGAGGCGCAUGAAGUUUGCUAUGAUGAGUUCGUGAGUGGUAAAGGUCGUCGUCUCCCAGUCAACUUUGGGUUGUUGGAUCAUUGUCUUCGUAUGAUGUAAUUAUUAAACUAUUUUGUAUAGAACUCAAUUAUAUAUUAAAGAUGUGACAUUCAUUUCUAUACCAUGAAUCAUCAUAUGUGUGAGAGUUGAUCCUAGCACACUUGGUGAAGUUCGCGCCCGGGUUUUGGACCCAAUGAAUCUGGGUGUGACAGAAGUGGUAUCAGAGGAAUGUUGACUAUAGGACGUAACCUAGAUAGAACUGGAUAACGCUUUCCUACUUACCUUUGCUACUCUGAUUUAUUCUGAAGUUUUCUUAAUCUUUUCUCAAUUAUUGCUACUUUACUCUAUUUAUUCUUACCUUUUCACCUCUAAAGACAAAAGCGGAUUUCACACUUUAAAAUCUUGUACCGAAAGUGACCUUUAGGAAUAGGAGACCUAAUCUUAGGAACAAAAACAAAAUUAUUUUGUAAGUAUCUAUACGCUUGAAUGUUUGUUCUUAUGAUAACUGUUUGAUUUGGUUCUUUGAUUGAGUGUUGUGGAGUAAUGUCCACAAUUGCAUCUGCAUAUACCUCUAGGCAUAGAAAAAAAUAUUUAUAAAAUAACUAGACAACCUAGAUUAUCCCCCAUUAAAAUGUAGCUAGGAUCACAUAUCUAUCUUAGUAGAUUCUAUCUUAUCCAUGGAGAUUCAUCUUAUAAGCAUAGUUAACCCGACAUAGACGCAAAACAACAGAUCAAUGCUCUGCCUAAGACCCUUCAAUUUAUGACUAGCUACUAGGCUACCUGUUCUACCUACUAAAUUAUUCCCCUUGCAAAACUAUCUUACCAUAUGUCUCUAACCCAGAUGGUUAAUACCAGGAGGGGAGGAGGUGUUGAUCUACUCACACGAAUUCAUCGAAGAAGGGUUGUAGCUAAUCCAGAACCAAAAAUGAAUCCCCUAAAUCCCCCGCCUGUUGAUGACGUGGCUGCUGCUCAAAUGCGAUUACUAUAACAAAUGGCAACACGAUGACGGAAAUGCAAGCAUAGAUCUAUCAAGAACGAUAGAAAAUACGGCAAGAACGUCAAGAAAUGCGCCAAAAAUGGUAGGAACGACAGCAACUACCACCUCCACCACCACCAGCUCCACCCAGGGAUAAGCACCAGGAGUUUAUGAGUCAUAAGCCACCGACAUUCUCCAACUUCUCCGACCCACUGCAAGCUGACGACUGGCUAAACUCCAUGGACAAGAUGCUCAACAUAGCCCAGUGUACUGAUAGGGAGAAAGUGCUAUAUGCAUCGGGUCACCUCACUGGCCCUGCUGCAGAUUGGUGUGAUGCAUAUUGCGAUGCUUACGCCGCUGCUAACACCAUUUCAUGGGCAGAAUUCUCCACUCACUUCAGGAAUUACCAUAUUCCUACUGGUCUCAUGAAAAUAAAGAAGGAGUUCCUAUCCCUCAAACAGGGAGGCAUGUCCAUAAGCGAAUACAGAGACAAAUUCAUCCAGCUAUCCCGGUAUGCUCCUGGUGAGGUCUAUGAUGAUGAGAAAAAGCAACAGCUCUUUUUAGAGGGUUUGAUCGGACCACUACAAUACCAACUAAUGACGCACACAUUCCCAUCCUUCUAGAGAAUGCUAGACAAAGCUAUCGCUCUGAAGCACAUGAGGGUUGAGCUUGGAGAAAAAGGAAGGCUACUAACUAGGGACAGGCUAGGAGCAGUACCCGUCCCCGUUAUACUGCACCCCAAGGCACACCAACUCUUUGCAGUUCCGGGCAACAGACUCAACAGACCUAAUCACCUCCUCCACAAGCAAACACAUCAUCAGGACUUGUUGCUCCUAAUACAUCAAGAAACAGGUCAUGCUUCAAGUGUGGACAGACUGGACAUUAUGCUAACUACUGUCCCAACAGGGCUACUUACACCACUCCAGCUCCGAUGAACAAGGUCAGGCCUCAGGAGGCAAGAGUCAGGCCUUAUCCGUCAAUCGAGGUCAGGUCAACCACGUGGAAGCAGAAGCUGAACUUAGUGAACCCGAAAACCCGGAAGAGGUGCCGAUUGAAGGUGAAGAAGCCGGUGAAGAAGUCAACGAGCAACAAGAUUAUAGUAUAUAUAUAUAUAUGUUUUAAGUAAUAUUUGUAAGACCUAAAUAAUACCUUAGGUAGUAGUUAGUACUUUAUUAUUUUAAGAAUAGUAAUAAGGUCUAUUCGUCCCUAUGUGUUAGUAAUAAGUUAUGCAUCGUGCUGAGUUCUUUAUUGUGCAUAUGUUUUGAGACAAGAUAGUGUUACAUUCAUUUCUUACUAAUCUCGAGGAUGAGAUUAUUUUUAAGGGGGUAGAAUUUGUAACACCCAACAUCUUAACUGGUGAAUCAAGGAAAUGCUUUAAAAUAAAUAAUAAUAUAAAUAAUAAUAUAAAUAAUAAUAUAAAUAAUAAUAAUAAAUAAAGUACCCUUGAUAAAUGAUGGAACUUUUGAAUUCACCUCUUUCUAAAAGUAAAUGGUCAUAAUAAAAUAAUAUUAGAUAAAUCAAACCUUAAUAAAGAUUAGACAUUGAAAAUGUUUUUCUAUCAAAACAAAGGAAUAUGAAUUUUGGAAUCUAUCUUUAAACUGACCACACAACCAAAAUCAUAUUCUAUGGAAAUAAUAUGGUGUGUAUUUCAUUACCUAAAUAACAUAAUAAUAAUAAAUAAAGUAACUAAAUAAAUAGAUUAGUGCACAUCAUACUGGAGGUCUAUUUGUGCAUCUAAAAUUAAGGGUUUAAAAUUCAGACUUGAGUUUGAUUUGAAAUUGAAAUAAGAAAAAUAAAAUCAGAAAAAGAAAUAUAAAAGAGAAGCAACUGUGCCUGGGCCAAAACCCACGAUUCGGCCCACUUAUCGGCGCCGUGUGGCCCAGCCGUGCGCGCGCUUCUGGACGUCCCUUUACAUUGACAUGGAGGGCCCAUGUGCCAGACUCGCUCCUUACCGCACGCUACCCACUGACAACCGAACCCCACGAACCAUGCCUCCCUCUCCAGCGCUGCAGCGACCGGAGCUCGCACAACAGACCCCGCGCAGAUUGCGCGUGCCGUUGCAACCAACUCGGUGCGCUAGCUGCGUGGUGAGUCGGCAUCGGGGUAUAAAGACGGGGCUACCCUCGACGACCAUCGCGGCCGCGACACCAACCAGACCACCAUGCGCCAUACCCAACGGAAACUAGGCCACUGCGGCUACCUCUCGAGCUCGCUAUCGCCAGCGUUCAUGGAAGGGCUGGGAAGGACCCCCAUGCCAUGUGGAUCGUGCGCGGGCAGCUAAUCAGGCUCGGGGAGUCGGAGGUCGGCGACAAUUCCUCACCAAGAAAUCAGCGCCGCCGUAGAUCCGCCGAGAGCUGAGGCCAGCAACCUCUGUGUGCAAGAUUCUCGGUAAUCUUCCCCUCCGUAUGGUCGCAGAUGUCUCCUCUUCGCGUAGCUGCGGUCCAAUUUAUGUGGGCGUGCGUGUGUGCCCAACGUGCAUCGCUCCGGCGAGGCCCCGUCUCUACGACCUCUGCACCGCCGUCAUAGGUGUCGGGGUUGGGGAAGAGUGGGGCGACCGUGGAUCUUCGGUUGUGCGAUUCAGAUUAGAUGUGGGCAGAUCCGUUAAACGAUGGGGUGGAGUAGAUCAGGCCAGCACUAAAUCCCGGGCAUAGAUCUUGAAUCCUACAGUGGCUGUCUUAUAUCGAGUUGAGCUUAGAUCUGGACUGCGGAUGUCCGAUCGAACAACGCUGAUCAGACGAAGUCUACCGGUUCGCCUAGAUCUAAUCAGUGCCCUAAAUUCUAGAUCGGGCGGCUGAGAUAAACCAGUACCCCUUUAGCUCGGCCAGUUUGCUAAAGAGCCCCUGUGGAAAUUGUGAAUUAACCCGCAGUCCAUCCCUAUAUUAGGAUCGUUACAUAAUUGUCCAAACAUUUGUAAAAGUAACCUUGCGCUCUUAUAAAAUUGUGGCCGCAACCCACUGGUCUCGGUUAGUUGGUAAUAAUUAAUUUAAAAAAGAUAUUUGAUAUAGAAAUAAAUCUAGAAAUCUAUAAAAUUCAUGAUUCCUUUAUUUUAACUCCAAUUUAAUUCAUUCCAGUUGCAUUAAAUUUAUAAUAACAUUGUUUAUCAUCUGGUAACCUUAGUUUGUUAUGAAACCUAGAUAAAAAAUGCACUUAGUUUCUUUCAUAUCCAACACUUAAAUCUUCAGAAAACCAUAACUCUUUAACCGUAACUCUAAAUUUAGUGGUUCUCGAACCUAGGUUCUCGCUACAACGCAUAGAUCAUUAUUAUGCAGUUUGUUCUUAUGUUUAGUGUGAUGUUAAUUUUGCCUAUACCAUGUUUGUUUGUAUUGCUACGAAUAGCAGCAUGGUUGCAAAUCACUUGAAGACCAACUGAGUACCUGGGAGUCUCGAGUCUAAGGCAAGUUGUGCCCUUGAUCACUCUUCUUUACCUAAUAAUGUUCUGGUUAAUCACUGUGACAUGCUCAGGUUAAUUUGGUGGGACCUAAUAGGUUUCCCAAGCCUUGCAAACAUAUGAACUAUUGGGUAGAUUUGGUUUUGCUCUACCUGGUUUUGGGAAAUUAAUGUUAUACUGUGAUCAUGUUCCAAUUAUAUUGUUGUUUAAUUAUUGUUCAUGAAAAGAUUAUUGUGUCAAUUGGAACAUGGAGCUUAACUUGAGAUCACAGUGCUACCACAAGGGUGGAACUAGUGGAACUUUGGAAAGGCCUCGUUGUGCUACCCUGCCUCUCUUCCUCGCUAGAGGUGUAUGGGGUUUGAUCAACCCCGUGGAAAAUGGGUAACACGACUUGUGGGUAAAGAUGUGUAACCUCUAUAGAGUGUAAAACUGGUAUAUCUGUCGUGCUCACGGUCAAGAGCGACUCAUGACUCUCUCAUGAUUAAUUUAUGGAACUAAACUUAAUCUAUCAUAUGCAUUGCAUCACGAGUGUUAUUAUCAAUUGUGAUAUCUUAUUUAGUUGGGUUGGUAUCUACUUAUACCUAGUAACUGUUAAUAAAAUUUUGACCAACUUUAAAAGCAAUGCUCAGCUUUAACCAUCUCCUUUUGUAAGCCUUACACUUCACAUGAGCUCCCACCCUUGGUGAGUUCAUGAACAUUAUUCCCCGCAACUUGUUGAGCAAUGAACGUAUGUGAGCUCACCCUUGCUAUACUCACAUCCCCCCAGGUCAAGAACAGGUACCACUGGACGAGGCACAUGAAGGAUGCUGUGAUGAGUUCGUGAGUGGUCUAGGCUGUCGUCUCGCAGUCAACUUUGGGUUGCUGGAUCGUUGUCUUCGUAUGAUGUAAUUAUUUAACUAUUUUGUACAGAACUCCAUUAUAUAUUAAAGAUGUGACAUUCAUUUCUGUACCGUGAAUCAUCAUAUGUGUGAGACUUGAUCCUAGCACCCUUUGGUGAAGUUCGCGCCCGGGUUAUGGACCCCUUCAAUCCGGGUGUGACAUGCACAAUCGAAGGUGGACAAGGCGCCCUGUAUGUAUGACCAGAUGGGGCUGCACUACUUCAAAUCCUGCACCAUCAGGGGCAUGUAACACCCCGAGAUUCACAAAUACCCCAGAAUGCUACUAAACUACACAUCUAACAUUCAUAUAUAAAAUUUCGACAACAUCUCCUUUGAAAAUUGCACAAAUGGGGAAGCAACAAAAUAUAAAUAGAUAUCAUGAUAAGAAAACAUAAUAGACAUUAAUAAUCUGCUAGCAAUGGGAACACAACCAUAACGACAUGAACUGAAUUAACUAGUGCGCACGACUAGUUAAAAACAAACAUCCUUUGACAAGAAGUUUCUAAUUAAAUCAUGAUUGCGCCUAGGCAUCGUUAUUAUGAGAGUGAAGGUGGAUGUGCUGCUACUUCCCACUCUCCAUGAUGAGUAACAAACACCUGCAUUGAGUAAUGCAAGAGUGAGAUAAAACAUCUCAAAAAGCAAAUUGUUUUGACGAGAUAUUUAAACCACAAAUUGAAUUAAUCAACAUUCUAAAAGAAUCACAAAUCAGAUCAGAAAUACUUGUAGAUAUAGAACUCAGUAGUCCCAAUAUAACCAAUACCAUCUCAUUUCCGAGAACAACCACGAUAGGUUGUAUAACACUUCCCUGCGUCAACAAUACCUGCAAAUAUCACUCAAUGUAUGCACAGGAAUGCAAUGUGUAGGUCCCCUGUCUUCAUACCUCUGAGGGUAUAAAACCACAUCAUCUGCAAAUGUCACUUCAAUGAAUUCAUAUGAAUGCAAUGCAUAUGUCCUCUGCCUUCAUACCUCUAAGGGUAUGAAGCCGCAUCGUACCCCUCCUCGGGCAACUUACGAUGCUAAGUUGUACAGGUACGGUCGGACCAUAGGUCACGACAAAACUUCAGAUGCAAAUGAGUCAUGCAAUGUAUAUGGCAUGCUGCAUUUAUUAAUAAACUACACUUCCUUCAGAUACAAUACAAACCUCAAUUAAUACUUCAUCUACCUUUAGAUACAAUACAAACCUCAAAUAAUACUUCAUCUGCCUUCAAAUACAAUACCAACCUCAAAUAAUGCUUCAUCUGCCUUCAGGGGUGUGAAUUAAUCUCAUGGGUCGUACUCGAACCAUAAUCAUCAUCAAUAUAUGAUAGAGCAUCAAUAUAAUACAAACAAGUAAAACAUCAUCUUAUAGUUCAAUUAUGAAAGAAUCCAAUAAUUCUGAAUAUUAGAGUGUAGGCGAUAGAAGUAACAGGUCAAAACGGUAGCAACCACCGCUACAUUCACUUGCCUUCAUCGAAGAAGAAAAAUGUACUAGGCAUGAUAUGGAGUGUAGCCACCUGCUAGCGCGCAUAAAAUUUAGUACAAAUAUUUCCCAAACAUUUGCCAACAAUCAACAAUUCGCUCCUACACUGGAAACCAAUACCUGGUGGAAAGACUCCCACCCUGAACCACAUGCCACACGACAGCAGCGCUAUUUGUUAAUUUUGUAUCUUUAAAAUUAUAAUAGUGGUGAUAUCAAACAAAUACUCUAGGAGUAUCUACACAAAAUACUCUACAACUUUGGUAUUCAGUAGAUAAUUAAAUUCAGCCAUCUAUAAGUUUUAAAGCAUCUGACAAGAUAACUGACUGAAUCUGUUUCAGGCAGCAGCAUAGUUAACUUAAAAAUUCGUUAUCUCCCAAACUACUCAACCAAAAAAUAUGCAAUUCUGCUGGCAGUGAAGACUUUUAUCGCUCUACAAAAGUCUCCAUAGUUGGAAGAGCCAAUUCGGCCAUUUAUUAGAUGAAACCGACGAGUGAACUGACCCUCUCAUUUUUGUCAGGCAAACAGGAACAGCCACAGUAAAACAAACAUAACUGGAGUUUCAAAAUUCAUAUGAAUGCACUAUUUAACAAUCUGGAAAUCUUAUGAAAUUAUCUACAACUUAUUUUACCAACCUAAAGUUUAAUUCUGUUUAUUAAAUUGCCUAAAUCUUAAUAGAACAGAUUCUGCACAGAAUUGUGAGACUAAAAAACUGCUAUAAUCAAACUGCAAUAACUUUCUGAUCUGAUGUCCGAUUGGGGUGUUCUUUAUGGCCACGGAAAGAUCUACAAAUUAUCUACGACUCAUAGAUAGACAUUUUAUUUUUUUGAUGCCAGUAAGAGCAUGAAAAACUGGUAUGAACAGAAACUGUCGAAUCUGCCAUUCUGCAGAAACUAAUUUCGAGAUCAAAAACUAACCCCCCAUCUAAUCCAACCUCUAAUCAUUCAAUCCCCAUGAUUCACAACCCCCAAAACACAUAAUUACAGGGAGGAACAUGGAUCUUAUCCUUACCUAAGGUUUCCCCAAGAAAAAUUGCAAGAAGAUAUGGGGUAGAACAUCUCCUUGAUCCUCUCUUCCUCUUCAUUUCAACGUGCUCCUCCUCUUCUCGAUCCUUGCUGUGUGGGAGGAGAUCUAGAGGGAGGAGGAAGUCGUGGAGAGGGUAUAGGGCGGCUGCAAAUGGGGAGGAGAGGAAAAGGGAGGGGGCGUCUGCAACAAUUGGGGAGAGGGAGAGGGGUCGGCUAGAGUUGGGGAGGAGAGGGGGGGCUCCCAUCCAUCGGAUCGAGAUCAAUGGCCCGAACUCGCUCUCCCAUCUGAGCUCCUGACCCCAGCGGAAAAAAAUGUCAAAACAUCUACUGUUUCCGUGAACAACAAGGGCACCAUUGACUUCAUCUUUGGCUCUGCCAAGUCCUUUUACGAGGACUGCGCCAUUGUUUCCGUGAACAACAAGGUGGAGAUCAUGACCUUGCCUGUGGCGCCACCUCAACUUGACAUUUACGACAAUCCAAUCAAGGUUGCCCUAGGGGAGGGCGGCUUCUCCUUCAAGACAUGUACCAUCACCGAGAAAGGCCAACAAAUCUUCCUCGAGAGGAUGGGCACGCCUUCCAUCUAAUCCAACACCUAGAUUUCUAAGGAGGUUGUGCCCAUAAUAUACGACAAAGGGACCAUCUCCAUGCCUAGUAAUAUGUAUGGCGACUCAUGCAUGCAGCAGAAUCUCUCUCCCUCUCUAUAUACAUACUUGUUAUCUCAUAUCUAUGCAGAACUAGAAGACGUCGUGCCACUUUCAAGUGCUAUGAGUCUGGGUUGGAGAAAAUAUGGCACCUCAAAUUUAAGUACGCUGAAGCCAUAUACUUUUUUGGGACAGAAUUUUUUCACUGAAGAUUCAUGGAUCCUGUCCAAACCACCUACUGAUGCUAAAACAUUGAUGUCUGUUUAAAGAUAUAGAAUCCUCAAAGAUCACCAAAGAUCAUCAUCUACCACUAAUUAAUAACGAACCAAAUUAGAUACAUUUUGCAUUUACAUUUUGUCCUUAUCUAUAAAUUAUGCAUGCUGCUGUAAACAAGUUGUAGAUGGGCUUCAUUUGUUCUCGAGAAUGAAAAAUAACAAAUAAACAAAGCAAACAAGAGGAUGAACCAGAAGUCUGGUUCGGCAAGAAAGAAGAAGGAAAGACGAUAUUGAGCAUGUGAUACUUGUGAAUCAUAUGUAUAAACUUCGUGGGCGUACUUGUAAUUUCAUACGAAGUUGUACCUCUCGCCUAUAAACAGAGUAACAUUGUCAUGCAUAAACUCACCUUUCGAGAGCUCAAAGCUUCAUUUAGCUUAGCCUUCGAAGUACCUUUCAUCUAUCACUUGUGUGAAGCUGAAGGUAUGUUUGUAAUUGUUUGUUAUAUUGCAAGGAAUGAAAUAAUAAGUGUGGAAGCAUGAAGAUGAGUAACAUGUCUUGGUUGUAAUUGUUUACAUUUCAUCCUUGUUAAUAUAUAAGCAUUUGUGCCCCUUCGUCUUCUCUCUUGAAUUAACCUUCGAAGAAGCAUUAAUUGAAGGGAGAAGUUUAUGGUUUAAUAACUUGUGUUGGCUUAUUUUUGAUGUCCUAUAGCAAUCAAAAGCAAGCGACCAAUAGUGGAUAUGGCUAGCAAGUGGCCAGCGCCAUCAGCAUGGACCCUAUGUUUGUGUGUAUGAAUCACAGUAGCGCGAUUGGGGAAGGAGGCUUGACGGUUGUAAGUGCAAUCAACCCAUUUGAGGGUUUUGGUGGUUAUAUGACAAAACAAAUAAAGUACCUAAUAAGUUGCUCCUAGUAUAUGCUGAGUUAUUUCAAAGAUAGGAGCAGUACAAACAUUAAUUUCAAACAAAAAUAGAACACAAAUUGGCUAAGUACUUCAAAUCAUAUGGCGUGUUUGCAACGACUGAUUCAAAGUAUAUAUUUCUUGAGUUGUAGGAAUCAUCAUACAACUAAGAAGGAUCCACAAAGGUAAUGGUGUUUGCAAAGCUCAAGUUUCUCUGUUUCUAAAGCUUAUUUAAAAAAACAAGUCUUUGGACCUUUCGUGCGAGUCCAACUGGUUCGUGGUUUUGUUGUUGGACGUCCGCUCUGGUCAAAGGCUUAGCUCAACUCGCCCAAGCCAGUGGAGCUCUCUGCUCAAAACAGGUUGAACUAUCUAGGAUGGAUCAAUCGAGUUUGCACCAUAGACCUCUUUGCUCAAACCCGAUUGAGCCAGCCCCUAGGAGAUGUUCAACCACUAUCUCAACGGUUGAUCGUUUUGCCAAACCUUGUAGCACAGUCUGGCAGCCCUGUUGCAUAGGCGGUUGAACCAGCCCGCUAGGGGCGGUUCAACUAUCCCUCGGUCAGAGGACCGUUCUGCAAAGUCUUACUAAAUAGGCAGUUGAACUGGCCCUUAGAGGCAGUUCAACUAGGGUAGGAUGAUUGAAAUCCCCAAUUGAGUUGGCUUGUUGAACCAAGUUUAGUUCUGCUAAAAACCAGUUCAAUUGGCUUUGGGUGUAGUUCAACCGCAUUUCACGCAAAAAGUUCAAAUAGUCAACUCCAUUUGAGAGGCCCCUAUAUAUACCCUCUCCUCUCACUCUUCCCCUCAGUUACUCCGGCUAACCAACUUAAUUGUUCACCAAACUUGAGACAAAAGCUCUAACUUUUCUCUCACACCACAACUCUCCCUCGUCGAUGUUUGAGACUAAAACCAGUUCAACUGAUUGAAGAAGCCUUGGUAUGAGGUUUGAGUUCUUUGAUUUUAGACUUGGUUUUUGUUCUCCCUCCUCUUUAUCCAUCCCUUGAGCUUGUUGCAAACACCCUCUUGUGUGGAUUUUUACUCUUAGAACCUCGUGUUCCAUGACGGUUGAGGUUGCUUGGGAGUCUUUGAAUUUGUGGAUGAUCCAAAGAAGUUUGUAUCACCUGCUCUUUGAUUAAGUUUGAGAAAGUGGUUGCAUGGACAUUGGUGGUCGGCCUGUGAAGGACUAGGUUUGGGAUUAGGGCACCUCAAUGGGGAUUAGGGCACCUUUGUGGUGUGGCCGAACCUUGCCAUAAAUCUCAUGUAUUUGUGUUGUUGCUUUUUUCAUCCGCUGCACUUUAUCUUUGUCAAGCAAGACAUCGAACGAUUUGUUGUGUGUGUGGAUUUUCACUUAGAUUAUACCUUGUGUUCUUCGAUUAAAAGAAUGUCUCAUUAUACUUCGUGGUGUUCUUAGCCUAGAUCUAUUCUCUCAAUUGGACUAGUUCAACAGCCCCUAGUAGCGGUUGAAUCGGCCUACACUAAACUAUUGAUUUGACAUCAUUUCCAAGCUUUUGUUGAAUUUUUCAUGUGUAGCCUAUUUACCCCCUUCUAGGCUACUUUCAAUGGUGAAAAUAGUGAAGUUCUAUAUGGAGCUCACUGGCUAUUCAGUGUAAUGUCUGAAUCAAAAUCGACACAUUCUAUCACAAACUAUUCCCGCCAAGAAAAAAGUGUAGCGCCAAUAAAUCUAUGAGGUAAUAUUUGUUAAAUAGCACCAUUUAGUCCAAUGUUGGUUAUGGAACCAAUUCCUAUAAUGAUGAAACCCAUGUGAGAUGCGGAGGAGUAGGCUAUUCUUUUUUUUAAAAAAAAUUCAACGACCAAGAGAGGUUGAAACUGCAUAGAUUAUUUGCACUGCUCCUAUUAUUACCAACCAAGGGUAAAAUAAACAAUGAACAUGUGGUAACAAUUCCAUAUUGACGCGAAUCAAUCCAUAUGCUCCCAUCUUCAACAGAAUUCUGGCUAAAAGCAUACAUGUUCUGUAAUGUGCUUCCCGAUGGGUGUCUUGUAACCAAGUAUGUUAAGCUAUAAUCAGCAAUUUGAUACCAUAAGCAAUAAGGAAAAAAUAAUACAGAGUCGUUUUUGUGGAUUUUGACUAAUAAUUAUUAUUGCACAGACUUAGAGUGGCUCAUAGAAAAAGUUUAAUUCUAUUUAGAACAUGUUCAAUUAGUUAACAAAUUUUCGCUUAAUUUGAAGUACUUUUUCCUUUAAUAAAUAAAUAACAUAAUGGAAGUAAUAAAAUAAUUAAUUUGUUGUGCUGGUUUUGGGACUUCAUGAAUUCCAUUGAUCCCAAACACCUAAGUUGAUCCAUGGCAUAUGCAUAAUGUUGUCUAGAACCCUACUUAACUUGAUUAGCGAAAUAAUUAGGGUUUUAUCAGAAAUCGAAUGCAACUUUACUGUGAAGGAAAGUUGUACUCAAGGUUUUGUCGUUUUAGAUUAUUUAUCUUGCACCUAUGUUCAUUCCAUCAUCACAUCAUGAUCAUAUCAUGCAACUUUACUUUACACGUAGAUUAUGUUACGACGAAUCAGUCAUAUUGUGAAGUAAUUCCCUUAGCCUUGUCUUCACUCAAUGGAACUAUUGGGUUUUCUUGGUCAUCUACUCUACACUACAACUAAUGCAAGCCCUAGUGCAUUCAACCCUGUUCCUUGUGUUUUAUAAAACAAGUAUCCUAAAUAUUAUGCUUGAUGCAUUUAAGUUAGUAGGAAUUGGUUGAAUACUCGUUGUUGCAUGACUACCCUGGAAUUUCAAUACCUGUUCUUGUUACCGCUUUUGAAAAUGUUGUAAUCUAGAGGUGUAGCCUUGCAUAGCUCUAGAAGAUAUGGUUAACUUUGAAUUCUAUAAAGGCUCCCCAUUCUCCAACCCCUCAUAAAUCACUUCUCAUACUAUUUGCCAAACAAUUUUUGUUAGAUAAGUUCACUUCUGUUAGAGAAUCCCUCAGAAUCGCUCUAUUAGAGAAUCAACUCUCUGAGCUACAGAAUCAUGGAGUAGAGCUCUAUCAAACGAGGACUUUUGAAACAAAAACCUAAACUCAUUUGUUGUAAUAGUAUUUUGAAAUAUAACUUUGAAAAUUUGGUUUUGAAAAAAGAGAAAAAAGCCUUUUGGAGAUUUAGUUGAUGUUUUUGAAACUCUUUCUCCACAUAGUGAAAUUAAUGAAAAGGCAAGAAAUCCAAAAACAUAUAUGUAUCAAAUUAUAGGAAUUCUACAAAAUUCCAUAUAAUUCUCAAACAAACUAGCUAAACAAAUGUAUAAAACCUUUUAUAAAAAUAAUAGAAAUUUAGUUAGUGUUGUCUAUUGAAAUUGCAAGAUGAUAACAUUGGUUCUACUAGGAUUAUGCGCAAAGCUCUAACUUUUUCUCUCACACCCCAACUCUCUCCCUCGUCGAUGUUUGAGGCUAAAACCAGUUCAAUUGAUUGAAGGAGCCUUGGUGUGAGGUUUGAGUUCUUUGAUUUCAGACAUGGUUUUUGAUCUCCCUCCUCUUUAUCCAUCCCUUGAGCUUGUUGCAAACACUCUCUUGUGUGGGUUUGUUACUCUUUGAACCUCGUGUUCCAUGACGGUUGAGGUUGCUUAGGAGUCUAAAUUUGUGGACGACCCGAAGAAGUUUGUAUCACAUGCUCUUUGAGCAAGUUUGAGAAAGUGGUUGCAUUGACCUUGGUGGUCAGCCUGUGAAGGGCUAGGGCUGGAAAAGACCGGGCCGUAUGUGGGCUGCUCAACAGGGAUUAGGGAACCUUUGUGGUGUGGCCGAACCUUGGCAUAAAUCUCGUGUAUUUGUGUUGUUGCUUUGUUCAUGCGCUGCACUUUAUCUUUGUUAAGAAAGACAUCGAGCGAUUCGUUGUGUGUGUGGAUUUUCACUUAGAUUAUGCCCUGUGUUUUUCGAUUCAAAGAAUCUCUCAUUAUACUUCAUGUUGUUCUUAGCUAGAUCUAUUCUCUCAACUGGACUAGUUCAACAGCCCCUAGUAGCGUUUCAACCGGCCUACACUAAACUAUUGAUUUGACAUCAUUUCCAAGUUUUUGGUGAAUUUUUUAGGUGUAGCCUAUUUACCCCCUUCUGGGCUACUUUCAAUGGUGAAAAUAGUGAAGUUUUAUAUGGAGCUCACCGGGUGUUCACUGUAAUGUCUGAAUCAAAAUCGCCACAUUCUAUCACAAGCCAUUCCCACCAAGAAAUCCAUGAGAUAAUAUUUGUAAAAUAGCAUCAUUUAGUCCAAUGUUGGUUAUGGAACCAAUUCCUAUAAUUAUGAAACCCAUGUGAGAUGCAGAGGAGUAGGCUAUUCUUUUUUUUAAAAAAAUCAAUGACCAAGAGAGGUUAAAACUGCAUAGAUUAUUUGCACUGCUCCUAUUAUUACCAACCAAGGGGAAAAUAAACAAUGAGCAUGUGGUAACAAUUCCAUAUUGAACCUUAUCAAUCCAUAUCCUCCCAUUUUAAUAGAAUGCUGGCUAAAAGCAUACAUGUACUGUAAUGUGCUUCCCGAUGGGUAUCUGGUAACCAAGUAUGUUAAGCUAUUAUCGUCAAUUUGAUACCAUAAGCAAUAAGGAAACCAAAAUACAAAGCCGUUUUCGUGGAUUUUGACUUAGAUUUAUUAUUGCACAGACUUAGAGUAGCUCAUAGAAAAAGUUUGAUUCUAUUUAGAACAUGUUCAAUUAGUUAACAAUGUUUUCCUUAAUUUGAAGUACUUUUUCCUUUAACAAAGAAAUAACAUAAUAGAAGUAAUAAAAUAAUUAAUUUGUUGUGCUGGUUUUGGGAUUGUAUGAAUUCCAUUGAUCCCAAACACCUAAGUUGAUCCAUGGCAUAUGCAUAAUGUUGUCUAGAACCCUACUUAACUUGAUUAGCGAAAUAAUUAGGGUUUUAUCGGAAAUCAAAUGCAACUUUACUGUGAAGGAAAGUUGUACUCAAGGUUUUGUCGUUUUAGAUUAUUUAUCUUGCACCUAUGUUCAUUCCAUCAUCACAUCAUGAUCAUAUCAUGCAACUUUACUUUACACGUAGAUUAUGUUACGACGAAUCGGUCAUAUUGUGAAGUAAUUCCCAGAGCCUUGUCUUCACUCAAUGGAACUAUUGGGUUUUCUUGGUCAUCUACUCUACACUACAACUAAUGCAAGCCCUAGUGCAUUCAACCCUGUUCCUUGUGUUUUAUAAAACUUUUACCCUAAAUAUAAUGCUUGAUGCAUUUAAGUUAGUAGGAAUUGGUUGAAUACUCGUUGUUGCAUGACUACCCUAGAAUUUCAAUACCUGUUCUUGUUACCGCUUUUGAAAAUGUUGUAAUCUAGAGGUGUAGCCUUGCAUAGCUCUAGAAGAUAGGGUUAACUUUGAAUUCUAUAAAGGCUCCCCAUUCUCCAACCCCUCAUAAAUCACUUCUCAUACUAUUUGCCAAACAAUUUUUGUUAGAUAGGUUCACUUCUGUUAGAGAAUCCCUCAGAAUCGCUCUAUUAGAGAAUCAACUCUCUGAGCUACAGAAUCAUGGAGUAGAGCUCUAUCAAACGAGGACUUUUGAAACAAAAACCUAAACUCAUUUGUUGUAAUAGUAUUUUGAAAUAUAACUUUGAAAAUUUGGUUUUGAAAAAAGAGAAAAAGCCUUUUGGAGAUUUAGUUGAUGUUUUUGAAUCUCUUUCUCCACAUAGUGAAAUUAAUGAAAAGGCAAGAAAUCCAAAAACAUAUAUGUUUCAAAUUAUAGGAAUUCUACAAAAUUCCAUAUAAUUCUCAAACAAACUAGCUAAACAAAUGUAUAAAACCUUUUAUAAAAACAAUAGAAAUUUAGUUAGUGUUGUCUAUUGAAAUUGCAAGAUGAUAACAUUGGUUCUACUAGGAUUAUGCGCAAAGGUAGCGACUUAUUCAAUCCAUAAGAACUUUAUUUAGCAUAUAUCAUCUAUAUAUAGGAGUCGCGCGGUUGGACGUUAUAUGAAUCACCUUGGAUCGAAUAAAACCAAUUAUUUGUUUUAUUUUUCCAUCGCUUAUAUAUAUAUGCACCAGAGAUUUUUGUGUUACCCUUGCAUAUAUGCAUGCAUGCAUGUGGAAUGAAUCCAAGUCUAAAAUUAGGCGCCUAAUGGUGACCUUCCAUAUAUUAGACACCUUAAUUAUUUGAAUUGGAUUUUGGAUGCAAACUAGCUUAUUAGCUAUCUAUAUAUAACAAGAUUAAAGAAGAAGACAGACAACCUAAUUAAAGAAUUUGAGGAGAGAAAGAGAGAAAGAGUGAUCGUCAUGGAGAGCAGGAGGAAGAAUCAACAGAAGACGAGCUACAUUGUAAUUUCCAUCCAGCUCCUAGCGGCCCUCCUACUCUUGGAGCUUGUGUCGCUAGUGCCGGGGGCGUCAUGCGAGGAGUUGCCCUUGGAUUUUUGGGUGAGUGCACUACGGGGGGUCGGGGCAAAGGACGUUUCAACAGCCGAUGGAUGCACCAAGAAGAAUAAGGACACCAUGCUCUGCUCUGCCCAGGCUAACACAGUAACCAAUUUCAUCAACCCUACCAACUCUGAGGAACAAGGCUAUAGGACCAUCGGGAGUCCAUCGCUAACAUCCCUGAUGAUAGCACCAAACGGUACAUCCUCAUCCUCAGCGGUGGCACCGUGUACCGAGAGAAGGUAUUGGUGAGCAAAAGCAAGCCAUUCGUCACCAUAAGAUCAGAUGACCCCAUCAACCCUGCCAUCAUUGUGUGGAACGACACUGCCGCCACCCUGGGGAAGGAUAGCAAGCCCCUUGGAGUAGAUGGUAGUAGCACCAUGACCGUAGAGUCCGACUACUUCAUUGCCUAUGGUGUCGUCUUUAGGAAUGAUGCUGCAGCAGCAGCGAAGAAGAAGAAGGCAGAAGGCGAGGCGCCAGCGUUGCGGGUGCUAGGAACAAAGGCAACCUUCUACAACUGCACAAUUGAAGGUGGACAAGGCGCCCUGUAUGACCAGAUGGGGCUGCACUACUUCAAGUCCUGCACCAUCAGGGGCACCAUCGACUUCAUCUUUGGCUCUGCCAAGUCCUUUUAUGAGGACUGCACCAUUGUUUCCGUGAACAACAUGGAGGAGAUCAUGACCUUGCCUGUGGCACCACCUCAACUUGACAUUCACGACAAUCCAAUCAAAGUUGCCCCAGGGAAGGGAGGCUUCUCCUUCAAGACAUGUACCAUCACCGGGGAAGGGCAACAAAUCUUCCUCGGAAGGAUGGGCACGCCUUCCAUCUACUCCUACACCCAGAUUGCUAAGGAGGUUGUGCCCAUAAUCUACGACAAAGGGAACAUCUUCAUGCCCAGUAAUAUGUAUGCCGACCCAUGCAUGCAGCAAAAUCUCUCUCUCUCUCUUUAUAUAUAUAUACACUUGUUAUCUCAUAUCUAUAUCUAUGCAGGACUGGUAGACGCUGUGCCACUUUCAAGUGCUAUGGACCUGGGUUAGAGAAAAUAUGGCACGUCAAACUUAGAUACGCUGAAGCCAUAUACUUUCUUGGGACAGAUUUUAUCAACGGAGAUUCAUGGAUCCUGUCCAUACCACCUACUGAUGCUGAAACAUUGCUAUCAGUUUGAAUAUAUAGAAUCCUCAGAGAUCAUCAAAGAUCAUCAUCUACCACUAAUUAAUAAUGACCCAAAUUAAAUAAGUUUUGCGUAUAUAUUUUAUCCCUAUCUAUAAAUUAUGCAUGUGUUGUAAACAAGUCGUGGAUGGGCUUCAUUUGUUCUCGCGAUUGAAAAAUAACAAAUAAACAAAGUAGAAAAGAGGAUGAACCAGAAGUCUUGUUCAGCAAGAAGGAAGGAGGAAUGACGAUAUUUCCCAUGUGAUACUUGUAAAUCAUAUGUGUAAACUUCGUGGGCGUACUUGUAAUUUCAUACGAAGUUGUACCUCUCGCCUAUAAAUAGAGUAACAGUGUCAUGCAUAAAUUCACCUUUCGAGAGCUCAAAGCUUCAUUUAGCUCAGCCUUCGAAGUACCUUUGAGCUAUCACUUGUAUGAAGCCGAAGGUAUGUUUGUAAUUGUUUGUUAUAUUGCAAGGAGUGAAAUAAUAAGUGUGGAAGCAUGAAGAUGAGUAACAUGUCUUGCUCGUAACUGUUUACAUUUCAUCCUUGUUAAUAUAUAAGCAUUUGUGCCCCUUCUUCUUCUCUCUUCAAUUAACCUUCGAAGAAGGAUUAAUUGAAGGGAGAAGUUUAUGAUUUGAUAACUUGUGUUGGCUUGUUUUUGAUGUCCUGUAGCAAUCAAAAGCAAGCGACCAACUAUGUCUAUGGCCAGUGCCAUCGGCCUGGACCCUAUGUUUGUGCGUGUGAAUCGCAGUAGUGCGAUUGGGGAAGGAGGCUUGAUGGUUGUAAGUGCAAUCAACCCAUUUGAGGGUUUUGGUGGUGAUAUGACAACAAAUAAGGUAUCUAAUAUGUUUGCUCCUAGUAUAUGUGUAACACCACAAAAACCAUCAACUAAAAAUAAUGCAUUUAGAUUAUUAGUGGUAAUAAUAUGGUAAUGAUUUUUUCUUUCAAGUGUUUGAUUUUUAUUUGCAUUUACGGGGUGUUUGGGUCCCUUCAUUUUAGAGGAAUUGGAAUUCACUCAAUAUCCACCACUUUCCAAAGUUCAGAUAUAAGCUUAUCCCAAAUUCAUGGGGUGGAGAAUGGGAAAUGAUUUUAUGCAUUAGUAGAAUUUGUUUCUACUCUAUAACUUACAUGACACUCUUCGUCUCACUCCUCUAUAGUAAAAAUAUAGCACAUAAAUAUCUCUGACAUCUUGCUAAUAAUAGUAUACAAAUAUAUUUUGUAUAAAACCAAAUUAGCUUAAUUGAUAUAUGCCUAAAUUACUAUUAUUAGUAAAAAUAUAGCACAUAAAUAUCUCCGACAUCUUUCAAGUGUUUGAUUUUUAUUUGCAUUUAAAGUAAUUUUGUUUGCUCAUAUUUGAUUUAUGGAUGCUUAGUAGAAUUUCUUUUAUAUUGAGAAUCCAAUCAAUUAAUAUAGAAGUAUUGGUCCAACAAUAAAUAUUUUAGUUAUAAAUAAUUUUGAAAUAAUUAUUAUGAUUUUUUUGAAUUAUUUAAAAAUAUAUUUACUUAUAUUUUUAAAUAGAAAAGAAAACAAAAGAAAAAAAACCGAAAACCCUAAACCUAACCGGCCAUUUCGGCCCAUCAGGCCCAUCAGCCGCCGCUUCCCUAUUUCCUCCUCCCCAUCUCUCACCGACCAGUGGGGCCCACCCAGGGCCCCUCUCCUUUGUCUCCCUCCCGUGCCCGGCCGAGCCGCGCCGUGCGCCACGCCUGCGCCUCGACGUCCGCGCCAGUCCGUUUCCCCGAACCGAAAACCGCCCGCGCUGUUUCCCUCUCUCUCCCUCCCCCACUUCCCUCUCCUUCAAGCCGGUAACGGCCGAGUUAUUAGCUGCUGCCAUUGAUGGCGUUCAUGGCCGACCAUCUAUCUCUCUCCCCGCUCGGCUCUCCCUCUCAUCCCCUCUCUAUAAAACCCGCCCGAGCUCCCACCUCUCUCCCUACCCGAGCUCUCUCCCUCACUCAUCGUGCUCUCUCACCCUCACCGAAACGCCGACCGCCUGAGCCUUACCGUCUGCGCCCGCUCGCUGUCGAGCCUUGCUGUCCACGCCUCGCCCCGCCUCGGACGCGCUCGUUCCCUACCCGACCGAGACCACGCGCGCCCUGCUCCCCUGCUCGCCGAGCUCCAUCCCUACGCGUGAGCAAGAGCUCAAGGUAGAAGAAGCACAUUUUGCAUUUUAGUCCCUACGUGUAAAUAAAAUUAUUUCUAAGAUUUUCAGUUUAGAAACUAUUGAAAAGAGACCCGAUGUAUACGCUAAAUCAUGAACUAGCCCCUGCAACAAUAUUUUGACACGAGUAUUAUUUUACAUUUCAAAAAUAAAUAAUUUCACUAUUCACUAACUUGGUGAUUUAAAUAUUAGAAAUGUUGGUGCUUAGCAACCCUACUUGAAAGAUGGGCAACAGGGGUGGCAAUGGUUUGGUGGCAGCUCAUGUUAACAUGGGGUGGUAGUCUUGGCUAAGUUACCUCACCUAGAGGGCCAUCAAUACUGAUGUGGAAACCUUAGCGGGUGGCUUUGUACUAAGGAUAUUUUGUGAAAGCCUCAUAAUGGAUCCCUAGCUGUCACACCCAGUUUUGGAAGGUAAACCGAAUGCGAACCAUGUACGUGCCAGGAUCAGAACUCAUGUACACAGCGAUUACAUAAUUGGACAUCAUCACACAAUCCUUGAAUUAAAUAGCAAAGGUACUUAGUUACAUCAAGAUGUCUAAGACAUCCACAGAGUCUAUUACAUAAACAUAAUGUUCAACAUUAAAUCAAAGCGUGGAGUAUCGAAACAUAGAAGAUAAGCCUACACAGGCAACUAACUGGGGUUUUCCACUAAAGUAAACUAGAACUCGUCGUUUUCCUGGAACUCCUCAAAGUCAUCCAUGUUGCCAACUUCACCUCCUGAGCACUGAGAACAGUGGGGACAACCUGGGGUGGGGUGGUUUGUAAAGCAAGGGUGCGUACACAUCAACGUACUUAGCAAAUGUCUCGUUUGGCUAAGGUGGACUAGCGGUAUGUGGAGUUAAGGUUAAACAGUUGCUUUUAGUUGGUCAAGUUUUAUUAUUAUAAGUAGAGCCAAGUUUUAGUAAUAACCCAGUUAUUACCCAAAGGCACUCCCUCCAAGAGGAAAUACCAGAGAUCAGGAUUAUAAUUAUCAUUGUUAAUCAUCAUCAUAAAAGUAACCAUUGUUCUUCUAAUCGAAGAGGAUCCCAAGGCUGCUCAUAACCGUGAGCACGACUAAUAUACCAGUUUCUAACACUCUGCAGAGGUUGCACACUUUACCCACAAGCCGUGAUUCCCAUUCUGCCCGGGGUUCUAGCCUCCCCAUUGAACACUAACAAGGUGACCUAGCAGGGUCUCACUAUGUAGCCUUUAUAAAGAUUUCCUAGAGGUCAUAGCCGCCUGUUAGGUUUCUCCAUUUUGAUAAACACAGUACAUCUCCCCAAAGGAAGGGUGACUAACAAAACCAAAUCAAAGAACCUCUGCAACCAACCUCGGCAGAGAAAGUACUGUGCCUGGACCCCAUUGACGGCCCUACGGUGAAGCCAACUACUCCUCUGGUUCCUCUAAUUAAUCAGCUAAGGGCGUCCCAUUCCACCCUCAUGGUUGCAGUGUUAUCCCGGGUUGUCACUCCCCAAACAGGUCCUUACGGAGAGGUACUCAGAAAAGAGCCUAAGCCCCCUAAAGUAAUCACAAGGACCCCAUCGGGAUAACAUCAUCGUAUCAUAAAAGAUCACAUCAUGUUCAUUGAUUAAGUUUAAGCAAUAGCAUAAGCUAACCAUGAUUAACCCAAAAAGGUAAACAAGGGUAAGGGAAAUACAAACUAGUCAAUCCUUAGGUUUCAAUAAAGUAAUGCGGGACAAUGAAUUACAAAGUAGAGUAGGACAUGAUAGGUCUGAGGACACUUGCCUUCACCAGGUUUUUGCUCAGAGGGAUCUUCGGCAACACACUCACGAACCAUGAGCUGCUCGUUGUCUAAGUAAAGCGAGCAUACAUUCAAUACAUUUGGUAGGUAAAAAUGAACAUCACAUCACACAUGAACAAAUAUUGGCACACAACUCAAGAAGGUACAUUAUUAAGUACAGAGGAAUGAGGUCAAGUUAUAAAAAUGGACUAAUCCUAAUUGGGGAAUUGAUUACUCUCUAAAUGUUUGGAACAUAGCUCAAAAAGGUUAAGUAGUGAUUAAAACAAAUGAAAGCUAGAAUUAUAAGAUAAACUAAUCUCAUUUAGAAAUUUGAUUAUCUUUUAAGUAUUAUCCAUAAUUACAUUCCUAAUUCUAUUUAUGUCAUUAAGACCUAGAGGUUAAGACAAAAAAAUAUCCAAGUAAUGCAUAACACUAAUCUCACAAGAUUGAAUAUACUUUAUUCCUAGGGUUCUCCUUUUAUUUAUUUCAUUAAAUAAAUAAAUCAAAAGAUACUUUAAUUCUAUAUUCUAAGUGUAAAAAUUAAAGUGUACAUAUUACAGUUGGUCAUAUUUUAUUUGAACAGAGAAUAAUUUGGUGAACAUUUUGUAAUUUGAACCACUAAAUUUGGAGUUCAUAUGAAAAAGAUAUGAAAUAAACAAGUUUUGAAGUUUGAAAUAUGAAAUUAGGGCUAAAUCUGUGAUUAAAUAAAAGUCCAGGGGUCUAAUUAAAACAAACCAGGGACCUAUGCCCUUAAACAGAGGACGAUGGGUUGAUUUCCUAAAACCAGGGGGUUUCUUAAGCAAAACAGCCACGCGAAGGGGUAUCGGGCUCCCUCAACCGUUGGAUCAGAAACCGACGGCUGAGAUUAGAUCGCGCAGGCGCGGGCGCGGGCGCGCAGGCGCGGAUGACAAGCGGGGCUAGGGCCGUCAAUGGCAGAGGGGGAGGGCGCAAUAAUCAAGCGGGCCCAGCUCCAGAGGACUUGGGCGCUGACAGGCGAGCCAGGGCAUCAGGCACGCGUGCGCGAAGCGUUAUCCGUGGUCCGAGGCGUUCGAUCUAAAUCGGACGGAGGGGACCAGACCAGGGGGAAACAGACGGCUGCUGGCGGCGCCGCUCCUCUCCGUGGCGUUGAGGUGAAAGGGAAAUGUGCCCUUGGGCCAUUUCUAAGUAUUUUGGUGAUUGAGUGCCAACACAAGUGCUUAAGUGUUAGAGUAUCCCAUGUGAUGGACAAAGUGCAAAUCAAAAGUAAAGGUAUGUUUCUAGACUUAGUACAUUGUUUUAUGGACUAAUGUAUUGUGUCUAAGUGCUGGAAACAGGAAAAAUCAAGUUGGAAAAGAGAUGGCUUUGUUCAGCCAAAGUCUGCUCAGUCUUGGUGCACCGGACUGUCCGGUGGUGCACCGGACAGUGUCCUGUGGUGCACCGGACAGUGUCCGGUGCACGAGGCUGGCUCUGGUGAACUUGCUGCUCUCGGGACUUCGACGGACAGUCCGGUGGUGCACCGGACUGUCCGGUGAGCCGUUCACAUGCGAAGUCGUCGCUCUCGGGAAGUGAUUAACGGCGUACGACUAAAAAUCACCGGUCUGUCCGGUGGUGCACCGGACUGUCCGGUGAGCCAACGGUCAGCCGGGCCAACGGUCGGCCGAGGAUUCCGCGCAUGACGCGUGGCCGAGCCAACGGUCACAUUGGAGCACCGGACUGUCCGGUGUGCACCGGACAGUGUCUGGUGCGCCAACGGCUCUGAAUCUGCAACGGUCGGCUUCGCCAAAUAAGGAAAGAAAUCCGCACCGGACAGUGUCCGGUGGUGCACCGGACUGUCCGGUGCGCCAGGCGACAGAAGGCAAGAAUUGCCUUCCUGGAAUGCUCUCAACGGCUCCUAGCUGCCUUGGGGCUAUAAAAAGGACCCCUAGGCGCAUGGAGGAGAACACCAAGCAUUCCCCAAGCAUUCUAAAGCACCAAGACCUCGAUUCCGCGCAUUUGAUUCUUUGUGAUAGCAUCUAGAGCUCUAUUUGAGUUGUGAACUCGUCGGGUUGUGUUGUGAGCUCUUGUUGCGACUUGUGUGCGUGUUGUCGCUUUGAUUUUGUGUCUUGUGUGCGUUGCUCAUCCCUCCCUUACUCCGUGCUUCUUUGUGAACAUCAAAGUGUAAGGGCGAGAGGCUCCAAGUUGUGGAGAUUCCUCGCGAUCGGGAUAUAGUAAAGCAAAGCAAAACACCGUGGUAUUCAAGUGGGUCCUUGGACCGCUUUAGAGGGGUUGAUUGCAACCCUCGUCCGUUGGGACGCCACAACGUGGAGUAGGCAAGCGUUGGUCUUGGCCGAACCACGGGAUAAACCACUGUGCCAUCUCUGUGUUGAUCUUUUGUGGUUAUUGUGUUUUGUUAAGACUCCUCUCUAGCCACUUGGCAUUAUUGUGCUAACACCUAACACUUAAACAAGUUUUUGUGGCUUUAAGUUUAAGUUUUUACAGGAUCACCUAUUCACCCCCCUCUUUAGCUGCUCUCAAUUGGUAUCAGAGCCGUUCUCUUCAAGAAAGGGACUAAUCGCCCGAAGAGAUGGAUCCUAAGGGGAAGGGAAUUGUGAUCAAUGAAAAGGAGAUGGAGUCCUUCGUCAACGAGCCGAAGGAGGACAAGCCUACCGACUCGGGCUCGGGCCACAAACGAGAAGAUGGGAAGAAGAAGAAGACAAGGCGCAUCAAGGAGAUCGUCUACUACGACGACAGCGACGAGUCCACUUCUUCCCAAAAGGACGACGACAACGACUACGAGAGAAGGAAGACGGUUAAUUCAAACUUUUCCUUUGAUUAUUCCCGUAUUCCGCAAAGUACCAAUUCUCAUUUACUCUCCAUUCCACUUGGCAAACCUCCACACUUUGAUGGGGAGGACUACGGAUUUUGGAGUCACAAAAUGCGUAGUCACUUAUUCUCUCUCCAUCCAAGCAUAUGGGAGAUUGUAGAGAGUGGAAUGAAAUUUGAUAGCUCGGAUAGUCCCUUGUUUAUAAAUGAACAAAUCCAUAGAAAUGCACAAGCUACUACUGUCCUUUUAGCAUCUUUGUGCAGGGAAGAGUACAAUAACGUGAGCGGCUUGGACAAUGCCAAGCAGAUCUGGGACACCCUCAGGAUCUCACAUGAGGGGAACAACGUCACCAUGCUCACCAAAAUGGAGUUGGUGGAGGGCGAGCUUGGAAGAUUCGCAAUGAUAAGGGGAGAGGAGCCAACCCAAACAUACAACCGGCUCAAGACCCUCAUCAAUAAAAUAAGGAGCUACGGAAGCACGCGAUGGACGGACCACGACGUCGUUCGCCUAAUGCUAAGGUCCUUUACUGUACUUGAUCCACAUCUGGUGAACAAUAUUCGUGAAAAUCCUAGGUACACCAAGAUGUCGCCCAAAGAAGUUCUUAAGAAGUUCGUAAGCGGGCGAAUGAUGAUCAAGGAUGCGAGAUACGUGGAUGAUGCGCUAAAUGGCCCAAUCCAUGAGCCUCAAACCAUCGCCCUCAAAGCAACGAGAAGCAAGGAGACGCUACCUAACAAGGUGGCGCAAGUUGAGGCGGUGGGACUAAAUGAGGAAGAGAUGGCCCUCAUCAUCAAGCGCUUCAAGACGGCGCUAAAGGGCCACAAGGAGCAUCCCAAGAAGAACAAGAUGAAGGGAAAGAGCUCCUACUUCAAGUGUGGUAAGAUUGGUCAUUUUAUCGCUAGAUGUCCCGAUAAUGAUAGUGACCAGGAACAAGAGAAGAAAGGGGAAAAGAAGAAGAAGUACAAGAAGGCUAAGGGCGAGGCACAUCUUGGCAAGGAGUGGGACUCGGAUUGCUCUUCAUCCGACGAUGAAGGACUUGCCACCACCACCUUCAACAAAUCGGCCCUCUUCCCCAACGAGCGUCACACAUGCCUCAUGGCGAAGGAGAAGAAGGUAUGUACUCGAAAUACUACUUAUGCUUCUUCAAGUGAGGACGAGUCUAGUGAUGAUGAUGAAAUAGAUUAUUCAUGUUUAUUCAAAGGCCUAGAUAGAACCAAGGUUGAUAAAAUUAAUGAAUUAAUUGAUGCCUUGAAUGAUAAGAAUAGAUUAUUAGAAAAGCAAGAGGAUUUGUUGUAUAAAGAACAUGAAAAAUUUGUAGAGGCACAAAAAUCUCAUGCUUUAGAAGUUAAAAGAAAUGAAAUGCUUUCUUGUGAACUAUCUACUUGCCAUGAGACAAUUUCUAGCUUAAGAAGCAUAAAUGAUGAUUUGAAUGCUAAGUUAGAAAUAGCUAGUAAAUCAACAUCUGGUGUAGAAAAUGUUGUAAUUUGCAAUAGGUGUAAAGAUUUUAAUAUUGAUGCAUGUAGCAAACACCUAGCUUCAAUUUCUAGAUUGAAUGAUGAAGUGGCUAGUCUUAAUGCCCAACUUAAGACUAGCAAAAGUGAAUUCGAUAAGCUAAAAUUUGCAAGGGAUGCCUACACGAUUGGUAGACACCCCUCAAUUAAGCAUGGACUUGGCUUCAAGAGGGAAGCCAAGAACUUGACAUGUCAUAAGGCUCCCAUCUCCAUCAAGGAGAAAGGGAAGGCCCCUAUGGCAAAUAGUAUUCAAAAGAACCAUGCUUUAUUAUACCAUGAUAGGAAAUAUUCUAGGAAUGUUCAUCAUGAUAGAAAUUGCAAUAAUGUUGUUUCACAUGCUUAUGAUUCAUAUGCUAUGACUGCUUCUAGUUCCCAUGUUGUGCAUGGUAGAGAUAUGCCUAGGAAAAAUAUUCAUCAUGUGCCUAGAAAGAAUAUUGUUCAUGUUCCUAGGAAAGUAAUACAUGAACCUUCUACAAUUUAUUAUGCUUGCAAUACAUCCUUUGCUAUUUGUAGAAAGGAUAAGAAGGUAAUUGCUAGGAAGUUAGGGGCAAGAUGCAAGGGAGAUAAAACUUGCAUUUGGGUCCCUAAGACCAUUGUGACUAACCUUGUAGGACCCAACAAGAGUUGGGUACCUAAAACCCAAGCCUAAAUUUGCCUUACAGGUUUAUGCAUCUAGGGGUUCAAGCUGGAUUAUCGACAGCGGAUGCACAAACCACAUGACGGGGGAGAAGAAGAUGUUCACCUCCUACGUCAAGAACAAGGAUUCCCAAGAUUCAAUCAUAUUUGGUGAUGGGAACCAAGGCAAGGUGAAAGGGUUAGGAAAAAUUGCUAUUUCAUCCGAGCACUCUAUUUCUAAUGUGUUCUUAGUUGAGUCGCUUGGAUAUAACUUGUUGUCUGUGAGUCAACUUUGUAAUAUGGGAUAUAAUUUUUAAUUCACAAAUAUAGAUGUGUCUGUCUUUAGAAGAUGUGAUGGUUCACUAGCCUUUAAGGGUGUACUAGACGACAAACUUAUUUAGUUGAUUUUGCAAAAGAGGAGGUCGGUCUAGAUGCAUGCUUAAUUGCUAAGACUUGCAUGGGCUGGCUGUGGCAUCGCCGUUUAGCGCAUGUGGGGAUGAAGAACCUUCACAAGCUUCUAAAGGGAGAACACGUGAUAGGUCUAACUAAUGUGCAUUUCGAAAAAGAUAGACCUUGUGCAGCUUGUCAAGCAGGUAAACAAGUGGGAAGUACUCAUCACAUCAAGAAUGUGAUGACUACAUCAAGACCCCUGGAGCUGCUGCAUAUGGACCUCUUCGGACCCGUCGCCUACCUAAGCAUCGGGGGAAGUAAGUAUGGUUUAGUAAUUGUUGAUGAUUUUCCCGCUUCACUUGGGUAUUCUUUUUGCAGGAUAAAUCUGAAACCCAAGGGACCCUCAAGCGCUUCCUAAGGAGAGCUCAAAAUGAGUUUGAGCUCAAGGUGAAGAAGAUAAGGAGCGACAACGGGUCCGAAUUCAAGAACCUUCAAGUGGAGGAGUACCUUGAGGAGGAAGGGAUCAAGCACGAGUUCUCCGCUCCCUACACACCACAGCAAAAUGGUGUGGUAGAGAGGAAGAACAGGACGCUCAUCGAUAUGGCGAGGACAAUGCUUGGAGAGUUCAAGACGCCCGAGUGCUUUUGGUCGGAAGCCGUGAACACGGCUUGUCACGCCAUCAACUGGGUGUAUCUUCAUCGCCUCCUCAAGAAGACUUCGUAUGAGCUUCUAACCGGUAACAAACCCAGUGUGUCUUACUUUUGUGUAUUUGGGAGCAAAUGCUAUAUUCUAGUGAAGAAAGGUAGAAAUUCUAAGUUUGCUCCCAAAGUUGUAGAAGGGUUUUUGUUAGGUUAUGACUCAAAUACAAAGGCGUAUAGGGUCUUCAACAAAUCAUCGGGUUUGGUUGAAGUCUCUAGCGACGUUGUAUUAGAUGAGACUAAUGGCUCUCCAAGAGAGCAAGUUGUUGAUCUUGAUGAUGUAGAUGAAGAAGACAUUCCAACGGCCGCGAUUCGCACCAUGGCGAUUGGAGAUGUGCGACCACAGGAACAAAAGGAGCAAGAUCAACCUUCUUCCUCAACAAUGGUGCAUCCCCCAACUCAAGACGAUGAACAGGUUCAUAAAAAGGAGGCGUGCGAUUAAGGGGGAGCACAAGAUGAUCAUGUGAUGGAGGAAGAAGCACAACCGGCACCUCCAACCCAAGUUCGAGCGACGAUUCAAAGGAAUCAUCCCGUUGACCAAAUAUUGGGUGAUAUUAGCAAGGGAGUAACUACUCGUUCUAGAUUAGUUAAUUUUUGUGAGCAUUACUCCUUUGUCUCUUCUAUUGAGCCUUUCAGGGUAGAAGAGGCCUUGCUAGAUCUGGACUGGGUGUUGGCCAUGCUGGAGGAGCUCAACAACUUCAAGCGUAAUGAAGUUUGGACACUGGUGCCUCGUCCUAAGCAAAAUGUUGUGGGGAUCAAGUGGGUGUUCCGCAACAACCAAGAUGAGCCCGGGGUGGUGAGAAGGAACAAGGCUCGACUUGUGGCAAAAGGUUAUGCCCAAGUCGUAGGUUUGGACUUUGAGGAGUCUUUUGCUCCUGUGGCUAGGCUAGAGUCCACUCGUAUUUUGCUAGCAUAUGCCGCUCACCAUUCUUUCAGGUUGUUCCAAAUGGAUGUGAAGAGCGCCUUCCUCAACGGGCCAAUCAAGGAGGAGGUUUACGUGGAGCAACCCCCUGGCUUCGAGGAUGAACGGUACCCCGACCACGUGUGUAAGCUCUCUAAGGCGCUCUAUGGACUUAAGCAAGCCCCAAGAGCAUGGUAUGAAUGCCUUAGAGACUUUUUAAUUGCUAAUGCUUUCAAGGUUGGGAAAGCCGAUCCAACUCUUUUCACUAAGACUUGCGAUGGUGAUCUUUUUGUGUGCCAAAUUUAUGUCGAUGACAUAAUAUUUGGUUCUACUAAUCAAAAGUCUUGUGAAGAGUUUAGCAGGGUGAUGACGCAGAAAUUCGAGAUGUCGAUGAUGGGCGAGUUGAACUACUUCCUUGGGUUCCAAGUGAAGCAACUCAAGGAUGGCACCUUCAUCUCCCAAACGAAGUACAUGCAAGACUUGCUAAAGCGGUUUGGGAUGAAGGACGCCAAGCCCGCCAAGACUCCAAUGGGAACCGACGGACACACCGACCUCAACAAAGGAGGUAAGUCUGUUGAUCAAAAGGCAUACCGGUCAAUGAUAGGGUCUUUACUUUAUUUAAGUGCUAGUAGACCGAAUAUUAUGCUUAGCAUAUGCAUGUGUGCUAGAUUUCAAUCCGAUCCAAGGGAGUGUCACUUAGUGGCCGUGAAGCGAAUUCUUAGAUAUUUUGUCGCUACGCCUUGCUUCGGGUUCUGGUAUCCAAAGGGGUCUAACUUUGACUUGAUUGGAUAUUCAGACUCCGACUAUGCUGGAUGUAAGGUCGAUAGGAAGAGUACAUCGGGGACGUGCCAAUUCUUAGGAAGGUCCCUGGUGUCAUGGAAUUCUAAGAAACAAACUUCUGUUGCCCUAUCCACCGCUGAGGCCGAGUUCGUUGCCGCAGGACAAUGUUGCGCGCAACUACUUUGGAUGAGGCAAACCCUCCGGGACUUUGGCUACAAUCUGAGCAAAGUCCCACUCCUAUGUGACAAUGAGAGUGCUAUCCGCAUAGCAGAAAAUCCUGUUGAGCACAGCCGCACAAAGCACAUUGACAUCCGGCAUCACUUUUUGAGAGACCACCAGCAAAAGGGAGAUAUCGAAGUGUUCUAUAUUAGCACCGAGAACCAGCUAGCCAAUAUCUUUACCAAGCCUUUAGAUGAGAAGACCUUUUGCAGGCUGCGUAGUGAGCUAAAUGUCUUAGAUUCGCGGAACUUGGAUUGAUUUAUAGCAUACAUGUGUUUAUGCCUUUGAUCAUGUUCCUUAUGCAUUUUGUUGUUUAUUUAUGGUGCUCAAGUUGUACAAGCACUCCCCGGACCUCACAAGUCCUUUUGCAAGUGAUGCACAUAUUUAGGGGGAGAUGUGCUACAACUUGACUCUUUGAGACUAACCGUGUGCUUGAGUUUGCUUGAUUUAGUCUCAAAGGAAGGUUGAGAGGGAAAAGAUGGACUUGGACCAUGAAAGACUUGCACUGCACUCCGAUGAGAGGGUAACUUAUUCCAAGUUCAUCUAAUGUACUCUUAUUGCCCUUGUAUACUUAUUUGAAGAUUUUGGUGAGGCAAUGGGGUUCAAGGGCCAAGAUUGAUCCCGUUUUGGUGCUUGAUGCCAAAGGGGGAGAAAAUAAGGCCAAAGCAAUAAAUGGAUCAGUUACCACUUGAGAAAUUUUGAAAAUAGUAGAAUAGAGCUUUUGGUUUGUCAAAACUCUCUUGUUGUUUCUCUUUGCAAAAGUUGGUCUCCUGUGGGGAGAAUGGUUGAUUAUGGGAAAAAGGGGGGGGGGUUUGAAUCUUUGAUCAAUUUCUCCUGGAAUACCUCUCUUUAUGUCUCUACAAGUGAAGUUGACUUAGAGAUAGGAAAUUGAGUUUGAUUUGCAAAAACAAACCAAGUGGUGGCAAAGAGUGAUCCAUAUAUGCCAAAUUUGAAUCAAAACAAUUUUGAGUUUUCAUUUGCAUUGAUAUUGCACUUGUUCUAGUUGCUUUAUGUUGUGUUGGCAUAAAUCACCAAAAAGGGGGAGAUUGAAAGGGAAAUGUGCCCUUGGGCCAUUUCUAAGUAUUUUGGUGAUUGAGUGCCAACACAAGUGCUUAAGUGUUAGAGUAUCCCAAGUGACGGACAAAGUGCAAAUCAAAAGUAAAUGUAUGUUUCUAGACUUAGUACAUUGUUUUAUGGACUAAUGUAUUGUGUCUAAGUGCUGGAAACAGGAAAAAUCAAGUUGGAAAAGAGAUGGCUUUGUUCAGCCAAAGUCUGCUCAGUCUGGCUGCACCGGACAGUGUCCGGUGCAGCAGGCUGGCUCUGGUGAACUUGCUGCUCUCGGGACUUCGACGGCGGUGUACGGCUAUAAAUCACCGGACUGUCCGGUGGUGCACCGGACUGUCCGGUGAGCCGUUCACAGGCGAAGUCGUCGCUCUCGGGAAGUGAUUAACGGCGUACGGCUAAAAAUCACCGGUCUGUAUGGUGGUGCACCAGACUGUCCGGUGAGCCAACGGUCAGCCGGGCCAAUGGUCGGCUGAGGAUUCCGCGCAUGACGCGUGGCCGAGCCAACGGUCACAUUGGAGCACCGGACUGUCCGGUGUGCACCGGACAGUGUCCGGUGCGCCAACGGCUCUGAAUCUGCGACGGUCGGCUUUGCCAAAUAAGGAAAGAAAUCCGCACCGGACAGUGUCCGGUGGUGCACCGGACUGUCUGGUGCGCCAGGCGAUAGAAGGCAAGAAUUGCCUUCCUGUAAUGCUCUCAACGGCUCCUAGCUGCCUUGGGGCUAUAAAAAGGACCCCUAGGCGCAUGGAGGAGAACACCAAGCAUUCCCCAAGCAUUCUAAAGCACCAAGACCUCGAUUCCGCGCAUUUGAUUCUUUGUGAUAGCAUCUAGAGCUCUAUUUGAGUUGUGAACUCGUCGAGUUGUGUUGUGAGCUCUUGUUGCGACUUGUGUGCGUGUUGUCACUUUGAUUUUGUGUCUUGUGUGCGUUGCUCAUCCCUCCCUUACUCCGUGCUUCUUUGUGAACAUCAAAGUGUAAGGGCGAGAGGCUCCAAGUUGUGGAGAUUCCUUGCGAUCGGGAUAUAGUAAAGCAAAUCAAAACACCGUGGUAUUCAAGUGGGUCUUUGGACCGCUUGAGAGGGGUUGAUUGCAACCCUCGUCCGUUGGGACGCCACAACGUGGAGUAGGCAAGCGUUGGUCUUGGCCGAACCACGGGAUAAACCACUGUGCCAUCUCUAUGUUGAUCUCUUGUGGUUAUUGUGUUUUGUUAAGACUCCUCUCUAGCCACUUGGCAUUAUUGUGCUAACACCUAACACUUAAACAAGUUUUUGUGGCUUUAAGUUUAAGUUUUUACAGGAUCACCUAUUCACCCCCCCUCUAGGUGCUCUCAUGAGGUCACCGGAGUUGAGGCUGGCGCGAGCUGGAGUGGCUACAGGGUCGUCGGAGUUGGGCAGAGAGGGAGAGGGCACCACGGCGAACUCAAUGGCGGGGAAGAGGCCCUGAAUCCACGGGCAAAGAAGGGAGAACGGCGGUGAGAAGGUCUCGGGCGAGCCGGAGUAACUCUGGUGAGCCAUUCUGGCCACGGGGAGGGGACUUAAGGCGUGCUAAGGCCUGGGCUAGCUUCAGCAGAGGCAGGGUUGACAUAGGGACCUACUCCGGGGAACUAGACCGGGCUAAAUCGGCCGGCCACCGCGCGAGCAUGGUGGACCGCCGCGGCCGAGCACUGGCGAAGGCGAAAUUGGCCGAGCACAGGGCGCAAUAAGGGAAAUUGGGCACGGGGAUGGGUGUCUCACCUCUGGGCGAAGCUCGGGGAGGCUUGGAGCGGUCUCCGGCGAGCUGGAUGGCCAGGAACGCGGGCGUGGGUCUUCGGCGGCGGCUGGCGGCGUGGGCAGAGCAUGAGAGAGGGCGAAGCUACGCGAAAUGAGGUGAGGGGUGUGCGCGGGGCAUGGGCGGGGCUCUAAGAAGGGAGCUGGGCGCGUGGGCGGGCGUCGUGGCCGAGAAAUCCGGCGACGUGCGCACGAGUCGGUCCACGACGAGCGUGGAGGGGGCGGAACUGACAGGUAGGGUCCAUGGCGCAGAGAGAGGAGAAAGGGGCGUGCGGGGCAACAGCUCGGCGACUGGCGGACCGGGCCCGCGAGAUAGAGAGACUGGUCCCACUAGGCAGCGAGCGAGGGAGGGAGCGCGUGCGCGAGGGAGAACUGCCGCUGACAGGCGGGGUCCGCCUGUCAGACAGCGCGGGCGCGCGGCCUGGCUGGGCCGACUGGGCUGGUUUGGGCUGCUUUCUCCUUUUCUUUUUCUCUGAAUUUUCUAAUUCCUUUUCCAUUUCUUUUUCUAUAGGGUUUUUUCAAAUCCAAAUUCAAACUAGGUUUCAAAUUCAAAUAAAUUCAAACUUGUCCAACACUUCAAAGAAUAUUUUAAACUCAGCAUGAUGCAACAUGUCAAGACUCAUAAGGUUUUGACAAAAAUAAAUAAUUAACCUCCACUAGUUUAGGCUAUCUCUAAUCAAAAAGGAAAAAGGGAGAGAGAGAAAACCUAGAGUGAGAAAAAGAAGAGUAACACAUGAUUUUGGGUGAUAAUUAGAAAGAAAUUUUAUACCCCCAAAAUCAGGGUGUUACAGACCUAUCCCCCUUAAAAGAAUCUCGCCCUCGAGAUUCAGGGCUGGCUAGAAAAGAGCUCAGGGUACUUGGCUUUUAAAUCAUCUUCUCUUUCCCAGGUUGCUUCUUCUUCUGAGUGAUGGCCCCAUUUGACUUUGCACAUUCUGAUGGUGUUCCUCCGGGUGACCCGAUCUGCUGUCUCCAGAAUUUGAGUUGGCUUCUCAAUAUAAGUCAGAUCUUCUUGAACUUCAAGAUCCUCUGCUAGCAACUGCUCUUCUAGCACUCUUAAGCAUUUCUUCAACUGAGACACAUGGAACACAUCGUGCACAGCUGACAGAUUCUCUAGUAAGCUGAGUUGAUAAGCCACUUCUCCACGUCUUGCAUGAAUCUGAUACGGGCCGAUAUAGCGAGGGGCUAGCUUGCCCUUGACUCCGAACCUCUUGGUUCCUCUGAUAGGUGACACCUUCAAAUAGACAUAAUCUCCCACUUCAAAACUGAGUUCUCUUCUUCUGGUGUCAUCAUAGCUUCGUUGUCUGGACUGUGCUGCCUUCAAAUUCUCCCGGACCAUUCGGAUGUUCUCUUCGGCUUCAAGCAGAAUAUCUGGCCCGAACACCAGUCUUUCACCAGGUUGGUCCCAAUGCAGUGCAGUUCUGCAAUUCCUUCCAUAAAGCGCUUCAAACGGUGACAUCUUUAGGCUGGCUUGGUAGCUAUUGUUGUAAGAGAAUUCUGCAUAUGGUAAUCUCUUGUCCCAACCUAUGUUGUCUUGUAAGGCACAAGCCCUCAACAUAUCCUCCAAAAUCUGAUUAGUUAUCUCUGUUUGACCAUUUUGUCUGCGGGUGAUAAGCUGAGCUGAAUUUCAAAUGCGUGCCUAAAGCUUCAUGUAAGUACUGCCAAAAAUGAGAGGUGAACUGGGUGCCUCUAUCUGAUACUAUCUUCUUCGGAACGCCAUGCAAGCACACAAUCCGAGCCAUGUAUAGUUCGGCCAACACCGCACUGUUGUAGGUGGUCUUGACUGGUAUGAAAUGGGCCGCCUUUGUCAAACGGUCCACUACUACCCAGAUAGAGUCAUAACCAGUACGAGUGCGGGGAAAACCGACUAUAAAGUCCAUUCCUAUCUCAUCCCAUUUCCACUGAGGAAUCUGCAACGGUUGCAACAAACCUGCAGGUCUCUGAUGUUCUGCUUUAAUCCUCUGACAAUUGUUACAUACAGCCACAUACUCUGCUAUCUCCCUUUCAUAUCGUACCACCAAAAUAUUUUCUUCAGGUCUUGGUACAUCUUCUCACUACCAGGGUGUAUAGAGUAUGCUGUCUCAUGAGCUUCCUUGAGAAUCAGUUCCCGGAUUGGUUUGAUAUCGAGAACACACAGUCUGUCCUUGAACCAUACCACUCCUUCUGCAUCUUCACGGAAAUCCUUGCCUUAUCCAUCUAUGAUCAGCUGCCGGAUCUCGUUGAUUUUCUCAUCAUCCUUCUGACCCUUCCUGAUGUCUUUCUCUAGAGUGGGUUCCAACUCAAUUGUCACUCCUUGAGUGUUGUUCAGAAAUCCGAGACUCAACCUGUCGAAUUCCUUCGCUAGCUCAUAUGGCAUCGGGUGAGCGGCCAACAUAUUGACUUGACUCUUCCUGCUAAGAGCAUCUGCAACUACAUUUGCUUUGCUUGGGUGAUAAUGAAUCUCCAGCUCAUAAUCUUUGAUCAACUCUAGCCAUCUUCGCUGCCUCAUGUUUAACUCUNNNNNNNNNNNNNNNNNNNNNNNNNNNNNNNNNNNNNNNNNNNNNNNNNNNNNNNNNNNNNNNNNNNNNNNNNNNNNNNNNNNNNNNNNNNNNNNNNNNNGUCGUUUCCAUGGAACUUGCGUCCUGGGAUCGCAAGGCCUGUGGCUACUUUCCUUGUACGCUGAUUGUUAAUACCAUAUCUUAUAACUAGUGUGCAUGCCACAGGCCUUGUGAUGUCAUCAACUGGAUAGCGGACCUUAUUUCUCGUUGACGCGACAGAGCUUGGGAUGGUCGUACCCUCGGUGGCAGCCGGCGUUUGAGCUGCUGGAAUUAUUUGCAUCUGUGGAGUGGUCAUUUGUUGAACAGACAUCGCACUCGCCAUCGCCAAUUGCUGCAUCAAUUCUGGAGGAGGAUUCGAUAGCAUUUCAGACAUCAGGUCUUUGAACUCUUUCUUGGCCUCCUCCUUAAAAUAAUUUGCCAUCUCUUCCCUGUAUCGAUCACGUUUCUUGUACAGACCUUCCCAUUGUGGUCCGAAUCCUUCCUUCCAUCCUUCCUUAGAUGAUAUUCCUCGUACACGACCAGGAUGCUCAGGGUUACCGAGACCAGCCGUAGAAUGUCUUUCUCCCUUUGCGGCUUAAAUGUUCCUUCGCUCUGCUUAGCUGCAAUUGCAUAUAUGUUUUUUGCCGCUUCUUCGACAUUGGGAUCAUCAAAAGAUACACCAGACUCAGUUUCCCUUGGUUUUCUAGCACGGAUCCAAUUAGCUGUCCUUUCACCGAGUUGCUCGGACAGCGUCGGCAACCCUGCAGCCUUCUUCUCGGCGUCUUCUUGUCUCCAUUUAGGAACCUGACGCUUGUAACCACCUGUGCCAAGGUGGUCGAGGUAUUUGUUCUUCUUAGACAGUUCUGAAUUUGCCUCACUUAGCGAUAUGAAAUCAGGGCUGCUCCUCUACUCUAGAAAUACUGCCCACUGACCUGCUGAGAUUUUAUAUUUUUCGUCGGGUCUAGGCCUUUCUUUGCAAACUUUGUAUUCAUCUCAGACCUCCAGUUUCGGAAAUUUAUUGCAAACUGCUUCAUCGUGUAUUUUUUCACGAGUUCUUCUGAACCCCCAGGAAAAACGAACCUCGUUACUAGCUUAUUCCACAUUUGAUUCUUGACAUCAUCUGAUACAUCUCUCCACUGUCGGAUUGUGAUGUCAAGAUUAUCUCUAACUAAGAACCCAAGUGCAUUCCGAAACUUAGGCAGUGCCUCUUCUGGAGCUAGGGGCUGACCAUUCGGGCUCACGUUUGUGAUUUUAUAUGUCUUGUCAGGAAACUUGUUUAGCCCCCUGUCACCUCUGUUCCGAUCGCUCUGCUUCCUUUUCCUUGACCUCUCGGUGGUUGUCUCGGUCGAUUCCGGUGCGCCUUAGGUCGGUUCCGGUGCGCCUUGGAUCGGUUCCGGUGCGUCUUGGUAUUGUGCCGCAGCUUUUUCGAGCAUCGCACGAAAUUCAGACAAGACCUCCUAUUCAUGUAAUAAAAUGCACAAGAAAUCAUGCAUGUGUAAUAGACAUUGUGAAAUCAGCUAAUUAAUUAGGUACACACACGAAAUUAAGGAUGUGUAAUUUACCUCAUGUUCUUGUGGAUCAUAAGUAGGGUCACGUUGCAACUCACGCGCAGCGGCCCUAUCUAUCCUAGUGGUAGGAAAAGGGUCGCUAGGCGUUUCAUAUCCUUCACUGCUGGAUUCUUCUUGAGCAACACUCUUGUCCAUGUGGUCGGGCCCUAAUCCUUGGUCCUUGGUUGGAGAACUCAUUGAGCUACAUAUUAACAUAAGCAAUAAUUAAAUUCGUAUUAACAAAUACCCUAACCCUUAUCGAGGAGUCGUAUAGAACAUAUAGAGAGAGAGAGAGGGAGAGAGGAGGAGUCGUAUAGGACGUAUAGAGAGGGAGAGAGGGAGAUGGAGAGUCGUAUAGAACGUAUAGAGAGAGAGAGAGGAGGAGUCGUAUAGAACGUAUAGAGAGAGAGAGGGAGAGAGGAGGAGUCGUAUAGGACGUAUAGAGUCGUAUAGAACGUAUAGAGAGAGAGAGAGAGGAGGAGUCGUAUAGAACGUAUAGAGAGAGAGGGAGAGAGGAGGAGUCGUAUAGGACGUAUAGAGAGGGAGAGAGGGAGAUGGAGAGUCGUAUAGAACGUAUAGAGAGAGAGAGGGAGAGAGAACUCGCUCUGGUCAAGUGGGGUUCAGAUGAGUUCCUCUUAAUCGAAACAACGCAAGUGUGUCGUACGUCGUCUUCUAAUUUCACUAGCUAAUAGUACUACAAUGGAAUACGUAGUUUACUAGUGAAUCUAGUCUACAUUUUACAAUGGAAUACGUUGUUUACAAUGAAAUACGUUGUUUACAAUAGAAUACAAUAGAAUAUGUUGUUUACAAUUGAAUACGAUGGAAAAAAACAUGCUUUUCGUUGCUCUCUCCUCUCUCUCUCUAAUCUCCCUCCCUUUCCUCUCUCUUCCCUCCCUCCCUCUCCCUCUCUUUCCUCUCUCUUCCCUUUCCCCCUCUCUCCUCUCUCUCCCCUUACACUCUCUUUCCUAUAUAUACACUCCCUCUCCCUCCUCUCUCUUCUCUCUCUCUCCCUCCCUCCACUCUCUUUCCUCUCUCUUCCCUUUCCCUCUCUCUCCUCUCUCUCUCUCCCUCCACUCUCUUUCCUAUAUAUACACUCCCUCUCCCUCCUCUCUCUUCUCUCUCUCUCCCUCCCUCCACUCUCUUUCCUCUCCUCUCUCUUCCCUCUCCCUCCUCUAUCUUCUCUCCCUCUCUCUCUCUCUCUCUGCAGAGACGCGCGCAGGGUCUCCCUCUCUUCCCUCUUCCUCCUCUCUCUUCCCUCUAACUCUCUCACUCUUCCUAGUCUUAGGGUUUAGCCGCGGCACGUGCACGACGGCGGCGCUUGCACAGCGGCGGCGCUUGCACGGCGGCGGCGGCGGCGGCGCGCAUGCCCGAGCGAUCAUAGUCGAAGAAAGGGAGAGAGAGAGAGAGAGAAGAACAUACCUACGGCGCGGGGACGACGGCGUGGACGACGGCGUGAACGACGGCGGCGCACGGCGGAGAAAAUCGCCGGGCGAAUUUUUGGCAGCCUGACGGCGGGAAGAUGGAAAGACAGGGCGCCAGACUUAGCGAAAAUUUUUCGGCCCCGCGCGCGCUCCUUUAUAUAGGAGAUAUUUCUACUGGCGGUUCUCUAUGACAACCGCCAGUAGAAAUCAUUUAUACUGGCGGUUGUCAUAGAGAACCGCCAGUAGAAAUGCCAUCCACAGACUGUGGAGGCCAUUUCUACUAGCGGUUCUCUAUGACAACCGCCAGUAGAAAUCAUUUAUACUGGCGGUUUUCGUUGAGAACCGCCAGUAGUAAUGUUUUUAGUAUAUUAUUUUUUAUUGUAUAUUCAUACAUUAAUUAUAUAUAUUUUUAUACAUAUUAAAUAUAUAAAUAUAUAUAUAUAUAUUUAGUAUACAUAAUAUAUAUAUUUACCUCUAUCUCUCUCCUCUCUCUCUCCCUCUCCCCUCUCCCUCCUCUCUCUUCCCUCUCUCUCUCCUCUAUCUCUCCUCUCUCUCUCUCUCCUCUAUCUCUCCUCUAUCUCUCCUCUCUCUCCUCUAUCUCUUCCCUCUCUCUCUCUCUCCUCUGUCUCUCCUCUCUCUCUCUCCUCUCUAUCUCCUCUCUCUAGCUCCUCCUCUCCCCUCUCCCUCUCUGUCUCUCUCUCCUCUAUCUCUCCUCUAUCUCUCUCUCUCUCCUCUAUCUCUCCUCUCUCUCUCUCUCUCUCCUCUCUCUCUCCUUUCCCUAGCUCCUCUCUCUCCCCUCUCCCUCUCUCUCUCCAAGUCCUCCCUGCUUUUAUUUUACCUCGCGUUCUAGGUGAUAAACCAUGACCGGGAAAAAGACCACGACUUCCUCUGACGGCGGCACUCCAAAGAAAGCCAAGGUGGUGGUGGAGGAUGAGGAAGAGGCGGGGUUGGAGGAUGAGGAAGAGGCGACUGUGACACUAUCCGUGGAGAAGGACGCGCUGGAGUGCGACAUCUGCUGCCUACCCUUCCAGUCUGAAGUUUUCAUGGCAAGUCAGAUUACCAUGCAUGUAUAUAUACAGUACAUAUUGAUCGGUAGGCUCCAACAUGAUGUUCUGCUCUGUGUAAAAUCAGUGCAAGAACGGGCAUUCUGGAUGUGCAAAGUGCUGCAUCCGCACGGACGGUAAGUGCUGGACCUGCUCCGAGCGCAUUGGCAACAAUAGCUCUGUCUCCCUCUCCCUCUCCUCUCUAGAAAGUCGUGUAAAAUUACAUGACAUGUCCUAACAAUAAUCAAUUACAUGACAACUAUAUAAUCUAGGGAGCUAUUGUUCUGCCUUGUCCAUCCUGGCGUACCCAGGGCAUCGAAUUGCGUGGGAUGCUUCGCUCAACGUUCCUUAUCUUGGUUGGAUGGUCUAUGAAAAGAGACAUGUCGUUGAACUGGUUAAAAUCCUUUAAAUCAGAUACACCAUCAACUCCUAUAGCUUGUUGUUUUCCAGGAAAAACUACAUGCUUCGGUUUAUCGGUGCUUUUCUUCUCAUUGUUAGAAAUGAUCUGUUCAGCAUAGAAGACCUGUGCAGCACGAUUAGCAAGGAUCCAUGGGUCAUCUUUGUAACCUACCUUACUUAGAUCAAGAACUCUGACCCCAUAGUUGUCUACCGUGACAUGUUUGUCUUCAACCCAUUGACAUCGGAAAACCGAUAUCUGAAAUGUACCAUAGUCUAGUUCCCAUAUGUCCUCAAUAAAGCCAAAAUAUGUAAUAAUCUCACCAGUUUCAUCAUCUAUGGCCUCGCAUCGAACACCACUGUUUUGUGACAUGCUCUUUUUGUCCUUGGACUUUGUACAAAAUGUGAAUCCACUAAUGUCAUAGGUUUGCCAUGUUGUGACCUGGCGUGAAGGUCCAGAUGCCAACCCCUUGAUGGUUUUUUCUUCUAUUGUUUCUCCACGUGGAAUGUCCUUCACCAUUAGCCAUGUGUUGAACCGCUGCUUAUGUUGCUUCAUUACCCAAUCAGCCGUAUGCCCAGGAUUUUGCUCGUGAAGCUCAUUGAUGUGUUGUUGGAUAAAUGGCUCUAUUAUCGCUAGCUGAUGUAGGAUGCUGUGAUGUGCCUCAAGUACUGUAUUGUAAUCUGGUGGAAUGAAAGAUUUCCGUCCCAUCCUCCCGCUUCCAUACAAUCUACCCUCGUGUCGUGACGGAGGCAGACCUAUUGCAACCUGAUCUUUUAGGAUAUUAUUGCAGAAUGGACCUCCCGACUCAAUGGCCUCUUCAGUACAGUACCCCUCUAUCAUGGAUGCCUCGGGACGAGCACGGGUUGAUACAUAGCCAUUCAGUAUUGACAUGAAACGCUCGUACGUCCACAUUUCAUGUAAGUACAUAGGACCCAAUGCCUCUAUUUGUGGCACCAAGUGCACCACAAGGUGCACCAUAAUAUCAAAGAACGAUGGAGGGAAACACAUCUCAAACUGUGUUAUUGUCUCCACUGCGAAUUCCUGAAGAGAUGCCAACUCAUCACGGUCAAUUACCUUUUGUGAAAUUCUGUUGAAAAAGUAGCACAACCGUGUGAUUGCCAUCUUUAAAAACAAAGGAUUUAUAGCCCUGAUGGCAAUAGGUAGGAAUGUAGUCAGCAUGACAUGACAAUCAUGUGAGUUGUAGUUGGUGACUAUCAGGUCUUUCAUUGACACAAUACUUCGUAUGCUAGAGCAGAAUCCGGAUGGGACUUUCAAAUUCUUAAGCCAAACACACAUCGUAUGUUUCUCAUCUACAUUGAGAUUGUAGCUUGCUGCUGGGAGAUGAUACUUCCCAUUUUCUUGAAGAACAGGAUGUAGUUCCUUUUUUAUGCCUAAAUUUACCAAGUCCAUGCGUGAAUUGAGCCCUUCUUUUGUUUUGCCCUUUAUGUCUAGCAAGGUGCCAAUUAUGCUUUCAAACACGUUCUUCUGAACGUGCAUACCAUCGAUCGCAUGCCGCACAUCUAACUCUUUCCAGUAAGGCAAGUACUCGAAGAAAAUAGACUUUUUCUUGAAUAUAGCCCCCGGAGCUGGUUUGACAUCUUUCCUUGUUUUUCCGUCUUUUGUCUUCUUCCCGAAAACAAACUUGAUAUUCUUGACUAUUUCAAAAACUCUAUGACCUUUAUUGUUACCCGAUGGAGCAGUAAAAUGUAGUUCACCAUUAUUGUCAAAGUACUUAUCCAUCUUUCGCAUGCGGUACCUGUGUCCUUCCAAUAAAAAGCGUCUGUGCCUCAUGUACACUAUCUUCUUAGAUGCAGUAAGGGACACGUAAGCAGUUUCAUCAAUGCAUACUGUGCAGCCAACCUUUCCCUUAAACUGGCCUGAUAAUGUGAAGAGUGCAGGGUAAUCGUUGAUCGUAACAAAAAUAAUUGCUCUCAGCAUGAAUGAAUCUUUACGAUACUCAUCCAACAUUUGAACACCCGUUACCCACAAUAUUUUCAUAUCCUCCAUUAAGGGCUCUAAAAAUACAUCCAUAUCAACUCCAGGUUGUGUAGGUCCAGAAAUAAGCAUGGUUAGCAAAAUGUACUUCCGUUUCUGCAUCAACCAUGAAGGAAGGUUGUAUAUGGUGAGGAUCACUGGCCAUGUGCUAUGCUUGCUGCUCCUUUCAGCAAAUGGAUUCAUUCCAUCAGUACUCAGUGCGAACCUAACAUUUCUUGGUUCAUCGGCAAAGUCUCGGUGGUUCUCAUUGAAAUCUUGCCACUGCUUCCCAUCGGCUGGAUGUUGAAGCUUCCCAUCGUUUUUGUGCUCAUUAGAAGCAUGCCAGCUCAUAAGUUUGGCAUCCUCAGGGUUAGCGAACAAACACCUCAAUCGAUCGACGACGGGGAGGUACCACAUCACCAAAGCAGGAAUCUUUUUGAGCGCAUAAUAGUCUACUUCUUCUUUUUCUUUGCUCGUGGAUUUUGAAGUCUUCUUUUUGGCUUUCUUUCGCUUCUUCCCUUUAGACACAGAUGCAACACACUCUUCCUCUCGAUAGUCUUUAUUCGUCUUGUACCUACUUGCACCACACUUUGGGCAGCUCUCUAAGUCUUUAUAAUCAUCACCUCGAUAAAGGAUACAGUGAUUUCUACACGCGUGGAUCUUCUCCACGCCCAUAGUGAGUGGACUGAUUAGUUUCUUUGCAUAGUACGUGUUAGCAGGCACUUUGUUCUCCUUUGGAAGCAUGUCUGCGACAAUACUCAAGUACGCAUCGAAGCCAGCAUCAGACAGACCAGAUCUAGCUUUUAACAUCAACAACUUUAACACAGACCGGAGCGUCAUGAACUCUUUGGUACAGCCCUUAGACUCGUCGUACAAAGGCUCUUCUGCUGCCUUCUUCAGGGACUCCAUACCUUUCAUGAAGAACAUCGAUGGAUCUGUAUGACGACGCAACAUUGCCUCUAACAACUCUGCAUCUUCCUCGUCCAUAACAUUUGGCAGAACAUGGGUUCUUUCACGUUCAUUUCCUCCGGCGUAACCAUGAUCAGUAACAUUUGGCACUACAUGUUCGCUCUGUGGAAGAGGUUGUUGUGUCUCGUGAAUGAACUGAAAGCUGUCGUCGAUGUUCGUAGGGUUUCCAGCUGUAUAAGGCGAAGAGCUACCCUCUCCAUGCUUUGUCCAAAUUAUGUAAUCUUUCACAAAUCCUCGGCAUACCAGAUGAGAUAUGAUUUGUUCUGUGUCAUCAAAUACAACAGCAUUUUUGCAGUCCAUGCAUGGACAAUAUAUGUGCUUUGUCUUUGUUCUCCAAGCAUGGUUCUUAGCGACAACAAUAAACUUAUGGACCUCAGAUAUGUAUGAUGGAUCUAGCCUUGAUAAGUUAUACAUCCAGGAUAUCCUCUCCAUCAUCACCUGUAAAAAAGUAACAUAAAACACAUGGUGAAACCCUAUAUCCAAAAAUGUGGCUAAAAUGUGAAACUCUCUCUCUCUCCUCUCUUUUAGUCGAAUAGUCCUUCCUGCUUUUAUUUUACCUCGCGUUCUAAGUGAUAAACCAUGACCGGGAAAAAGACCACGACUUCUCUAUGGAGGAUGAGGAAGAGGCGGGCUUCUCUACGGCGGCACUCCAAAGAAAGCCAAGGUGGUGGUGGAGGAUGAGGAAGAGGCGGGGUUGGAGGAUGAGGAAGAGGCGACUGUGACACUAUCCAUGGAGAAUGACGCGCUGGAGUGCGACAUCUGCUGCCUACCCUUCCAGUCCAAAGUUUUCAUGGCAAGUCAGAUUACCAUGCAUGUAUAUAUACAGUACAUAUUGAUCGGUAGGCUCCAGCAUGAUGCUCUGCUCUGUGUAAAAUCAGUGCAAGAACGGGCAUUCUGGAUGUGCAAAGUGCUGCAACCAAAAUGUGCCUAAAAUGGAGGAAAAAUGAACAAAAUUUGGCAAAAUAAACAUAAGCCAAACUUUCCUAACUACUAAUAAACAAAAAAAUUUAAUACCCAAACCUAUCUCUAACACAUGGUGAAAGCCUAGUUUCAAAAUGUAGUUAAAAUUGAAACAUAAUUAAACAACCUUCCAUACAACACAUUCACCAUUCAUUAAGCAAUUAAAUAUGUGUUAUGGAUAAACUUAAUUGAGAACUAAACAUGAAAAAGGAGAGGGAAUAGACAAAAACUGACCAUCUUAAACAACCUCAUUUGAGGAAAUAGAGAAAAUAACCUAACUAUACUCUUCUCUCUCUCAUGUAAAACCCUAGAUCCAAAAUGUGGCUAAAAUUGAGCAAGAAUGAACAAAAAUUGACAAAGAAACAUAAACCAACCUUUCUUAUCCACCUUCUUCCAAGAAAUGAAGACCAAAACCUCCCCCCUUAUAUUUUUGUGAAAUCUGGACCUCCAAAAUCGCCUCCAAUGGAAGUUGGCUGCGAGCAUACAGUUCACUGUCGGGGGGAAGAAGAGGGGUAUUUAUAACAGACAGUUCACUGGCGGUUGGCUUUAAAAACCGCCAGUGGAAACCUAUUUCCACUGGCGGUUAUCUUAACACAACCGCCAGUGGAAAUAGGGUAUUUCCACUGGCGGUUCUCUUACACCAACCGCCAGUGGAAAUUGGUUUCCACUGGCGGUUAUCUUAACACAACCGCCAGUGGAAACAUCCUAUUUCCACUGGCGGUUAUCUUAAGAUAACCGCCAGUGGAAAUAGGUUUCCACUGGCGGUUCCCAAGACGGGCCCACCUCGUUUUUUUACUGGCGCACGAUAACUGAAACCGCCAGUGAUAAUUUAUGGGUGCCGCAGGCUAUGAGCUCUUUUCUACUAGUGGAAGCCGAAGCUUAAAAAUUUAAAAAGCCAAGCAAGUGUUGGUGCGCAAGAGCUAAAAAUUGAGUAAGCAGGAGCAGAUGGCAAAAAAAGCAUACCAAAUGAGUUUGCGGUGUGCUCUUAUUUAUACGCCUGAUGCGUUGCAUACUGGAGGGCCCGCUUGUCGGUGACUAUUGCUAUUCUAGCAAAGGGAAGGUGUUUUUUCGGACCUUCGGCUCAGAGCCUUCGUCCUUAUUGCAAUCUGAAUUUAUCAUUCUAACAAAUUAAUAUUGCAAGGGGCUAGUGUUGGGGGCCUUCGGCUUCCGAAUGUCCUCAAAAACAUGAUUUAACAAUGUUUCUGGAAGUAUAAUGCAUGAACAGGUACCUUCGAACAUGGACUCUUCGGACAAGUCAAAAUCUUUGUAUGAAGAAACACAAAGAGAACGAAGGAUGGAACAGAGCCGAAGUUGUGCGUAAGGAAGCUUCGGCAUGAUGGCAGAAAAGAGGAAACCGACUUAAAGAGGAAAAGACUAUCUAGACCUCGAUGGAUUACUAUAGAGUUAUUAUCAAAAGCAAAGGACCUGGAUGUAAUUUUACAUGGGCUGCGACCCGUGCAUAUAAAUAGGUGAAUAGUACUCCCGUACUGUUCACGCUGACUUGGCAUUCACUUUUGCGUCACACCUGUAUUUUUUCCUUCAAGCCGAAGGUAUAUUUGCAAUCUGUUGUCAUUUCUAUAAUAAUAAAAAUAAAAAGGAGUUAAUAAUAUUUGAAUAUUUAUUUAUGUCAUUUUUCAUACUUUAUAUGAAUCUUUUUUUCAUCAUUUGUUAUACUGAUAAAGGUACGUUCUUCAUAACCUUCGUCCGAAACCCAUUAUGUCCUAAGGGAAAUAAUGCUUUGAGGGACGAAGGACUUUAACAUUUAACGAUUUUUGUGUUGCCUUGUUCUUAAUUCAUAGCAUUUAAGGACAAGUCCCCAACAUGAACCUACUUGAUUACUUGAAGCGUUUACUCGGCAUCUUGAACACAACCCUACACUAGGUGCGAAGUGUAUCUCGAUGAACACAUAAUGUGCAUUGACUCGACUUAUAAACAUAGAGGAAGCGAUGACUACUUUAGCAUGUCGCCACCUCUCUAUCUAAGCCAAAACAAUUUCUACCUACACCGACCGAACUUUCGUGUUGAGCACACCUUAUAUUACCUUGUCUCGCAUACAACCAUGUUGCGGCGUGUACUCGAGACACUUCUGUUCAAUUCAACGCAAUCACUACUACAACACACUUCGGCGCACAUGCUUGACAACAUUUAUCAACCAGACGAGUGAAACACCAAACUAAUUAUUCGCAGCUCUCGACCUCAAAACCCCAAUCAUAGGUCACAUAAUUUACAUUUUCAACCCAAUCUAACCUACAUCAACGAUGAAUACAUAAAAUAUAAUUAUCAAAGACUAGACUUAUUAGCCGACUGCGGAAGCCACCAAGCAUGCCUUGUGCUUUAUUAAAUUUUCCACAACUAACACACUACCUAACGACGACACCUUUUAAUAAUCCAUCAAUACAUUCGCGACCUAUCCUUGCAACACACAAAAGAACUAUCAUAGCCACACAUCCAUCCAAUCCAACAACAAAAUAACAUAUCAGCUCACCAUAUCAAACCCCGGUCGUGGUCGCUGCUCAGAUGGCGUGAAGACGAACGCGCCGUCGAGCACGGGAGACCGAAGUGAAGUCGGAGGAGCACGACGGGCACCGUGGGCGUGGCUAGAGGGAGCACAAGCCACGGAGGGGCUGCUGUGGCUGCCGGUUGGUGCGGCAAAACAGCAAGAACAACGACGUCACGAACAUAGCUUGAGCAUGGUGCAGAGGGGGGCUGCGCCAGCGAGGUUGACGACCAGUUAGGUAGCUCGUCGAGCACCUAGCGGAGCGCGUCACUGUGCGGGACAGCAGGGGAAAACUCGGCUGUGAGGGCCGGCUAUGGAAUGGACAAGGAGAUGGAGCUUGAUGAUGCGUGCAUAGCGAAGUUUGCCGAGCGCGUGCUACAGGGAACGACGACGUCCAGAUGGGGCUGCGCAACACAUCGAGCACCCGGCGGGCAUCACGGCGUGCUGUCCAUUGCGCAGCACCCCACCUAGACAUUUCGCCGAAUGCUUGGCACGCGCGCAGUGGUGGCAAUGAGACGAAGCAAGGGAAAGUCCCCGGGGCUGCAAGGGAAUCUCAGCGGCGAGGGGAUGCGCUGUCCCGGCUUGCUGCACCCUUGGGACAUUUUGUCGAACGACUUACAAGCACGGCGGCUUAUGGGCUUCACGUAGCAGCAUAAGGAGGAAGGGGGCGAGCUGCUACAAUGGAGGAAGGUUGUCGACCAUGGGGAAGAUGCAGGGGUGAGCUCACCAGCUGCUGCUGCUCUAUGGUUUGGGCAGAGACGAGGAAGAGAGGAGGGGAGCAGUGGGCAUUUGCUGCUGCAACAGGGAGAAAGGAGGGAGGGAGGGGGCGAGCACCACCAUUGGAGAGGGAGGGAGCUCGGCCACCAUUGCUGUGCUUGAGGAUGAAGAAGGGGGAGGAGGGGAGGGCGCCAUGGACAGGGAAGAAGUUUCCCGCGCCAUGAACAGAGAGGUGGGAGAGUUGUGUGUGAGAGGAAAAAUGGGAGAGGAGAGAGUGGCGGCUAGGGGUGGGAAAUGGAAAAUUUCCAAGCUGAAACAUAUUUAUAGCAGGUAAUUAGGGUUAGCUUUUUAGUGGGCUGGGCUGGGCUGGCACAAAACACUUAAUCGGGCUGCGCUAAUUAUUUCCAUUUUAUUUUAUGUCGUUCGAUUAAACACGGAUUAUCUGAACACUAAUUAUUACCCUCGUACGUAAUUUAGUCUGAUAACACGCACAACCUGGGUUAUGAACUUCAAGCGCAUUCUAAAUAUGACAUUAUAUUUUUAUUUUUCGAUGAGAGUUCAAUUUAGAUAGCGAUUAAAUCGGCUUUGGUUUUUUUUGCGGAGAAGCGAAUCGUGACAUUUUAAAAUCGCUGCCGGAGUGGGUUUUGAAUUUGGUUCAGACACAAAGAUACUAGGAUGAGUCGAGUAAGAAUUAAUUAGAGGACGACAUACUGAGUAUUCUGUUUGAGAGUACGGAUCCGGAUAAAAUAGUCAAACAUAGAUCAAAGUUCGAGGAAUUGGACUGGGGCUCAGAUCAAAUAACAGCCGUCGAGAGUUUGAUUAAAUGAGCUUUGGAUGAGAUUUACAAGUCAAGAAUGAUUUUCGAGUUUGCAUUCGUCUCGAGAAAUAAAAGUUUUAACAGGCUCCAAAUUUGGCCUCACUCUCUCGCGAUCGAAUAAAAUCAGAGAUCGGUGAAACCUUCACACGUAACUUGAUAAAAGGAGAUAGAUACGAUCGAGAAAUAGAAAUUUUUACUAAGCAUCCGAGAUUAGGAUAAAUCUCCUGACAUAACACGAAAUAGACACCUGGGGUGUCACAUUUAAAAAUAUAUUUAUUUAUAUUUUUAAAUAGAAAAGAAAAGAAAAAAACCGAAAACCCUAAACCUAACAGGCCAUUUCGGCCCAUCAGGCCCAUCAGCCGCUGCUGCCCCUAUUGCCUCCCCCUCUCUCACCGACCAGUGGGGCCCACCCGUGGCCCCUCUCCUUCGUCUCCCUCCCGCGCCCGGCCGAGCCACGCCACGCCAGCUCCUCGAUGUCUGCGCCCGUCCGUUUCCCCGAACCGGAAUCUGCCAGCCUCGUUUCCCUCUCUCCCUCCCCCACUUCCCUCUCCUUCAAGCCGGUAACGGCCGAGUUAUUGGCCGCCUCCAUUGAUGGCGUUGAUGGCCGACCGUCUCUCUCUCCCCCUCGGCUCUCCCUCUCCUCCCCUCUCUCUAUAAAAACCGCUCGAGCUGCCUCCUCUCUCCCUACCCGAGCUCUCUGCCUCACUCCUCGCGCUCUCUCUCCCUCGCCGAACCGCCGACCACCGGAGCCUCGCCGUCCGCGCCCGCUCGCUGUCGAGCCUCGCCAUACGCGCCUCGCCCCGCCUAGGCCACGCUCAUUCCCUACCCGACCAAGACCACCGUGCCCUGCUACCCUGCUCGCCGAGCUCCAUCCGUGCGUGUGAGCAAGAGCUCAUGGUAGAAGAAGCACAUUUUGCAUUUUAGUCCCUGCAUGUAAAUAAAAUUAAUUCCGAGAUUUUCAGUUCAGAAACUAUUGAAAAGAGACCCCGAUGUAUAUGCUAAAUCGUGAACUAGCCCCUGCAACAAUAUUUUGACACGAGUAUUAUUUUAUUUUUCAAAAACAAAUAAUGUCACUAUUCACUAACUUGGUGAUUUAAAUAUUAGAAACGUUCACGAUUAACUUCGCUUUAGCACAUGGAACAAUAUUUGUUAGUAGUAAUUUAAGUAUUUUAUUGAUAUAAGAAUGUAGAAGAAAUACUAGGCCACGUAUUUUUGGUCAGAUUAAAAAUAUAGGUUUUACUAGUCAUGAUUAAUGUAUUCAUAUGUAUAGCACUUAAUUACUUAGAAUUAGUAAAAUAUUUCUUUAUGUCAAAAUCAUCAUGAUUAUAUUACUAAAGUCCAAUUAGUAGUCUACAUUAACUCUUGGAAUAUUAAUGUUAGGUGAUUUAGAAAUAAACAUUUUUAGCUAUACGUAAAAUUUCUAUCUAGAAAGAAAAGGAUAAAACCCAAAAGUCUAUUAUUAGUAAUAAAAACAAUUAUUUUCCGUAAAGUUUGUUAAGUCAUUUUUAUUUACAUUAUACUAGAUAAACUAGCGUCAUAGUCACCUACUCAUAUUUCCACCAAUGAUAACUCAAAGUAGAAGCCAUAGUGGAUUAAUAAGUAUUUAUGCUUUGGACGUAUUUAUGAGUAUAGUUGUGUGAUGUAUGAAUGUAUAUGUAAUGGUGAAUGAUUACCCAUGUAAUGGUGUAUGUUUAUUUAUUUGGCGUACGUAUUCUUUUGUAUGUACGAUACGCAAAUCGAUGCUAGAAGUUGACUAUGAGGUAGACGAACCAAACACGUUCGAUGACGACCCAUAGGACACUUUCGAGCAAGGCAAGUGGAUUCUCCCUCUGCAUUUCUAUUUGUACCUAAAUAAUGCAUACAAUAAUGUUUACUUUUGGAUAUAUAUUGCAUAAUUUGAUGGGAUUUUCCUAAAUAAGGAUUUCCUAGAAUUACCAACCCUAUUCCUUGAAUUACCCUGGGAUAAAUGCUAUGCUUAGCAAUUUUUGCUAUUGCUCAACUUGAUAAAUAUGUUGUCACUCUUUUAAAUGAUACUAUGUUUCGGAAAUGAAGUUUUAUUAUGAGGUUAACCCGAUGGUUAAACAAGAACAUUUUUUGUUAAAUGGAACAUGGAGUGACCACCUAGGAUAACAGUGUAACCACGAGUGCUAUAAUGGCUCUGGCUUUGGUAAUUAGCUCUAUAGACUUAGUGCUUAGCAACCCUACCUAAAAGAUGGGCAAGAGGGGGUGGCAGUGGUUUGGUGGUAGCUCAUGUUAACAUGGGGUGGUAGUCUUGGCUAAGUUACCUCACCCAAAGAGCCAUCAAUACUGACGUGGAAACCUUAGCAGGUGGCUUUGUACUAAGUAUAUUUUGUGAAGGCCUCAUAAUGGAUCCCUAGCCAUUCACCUCGGCAAUGUUUAUGGGUCCGAUCAACCUAGGCUAGAUGGGAUACAUGGCUUGUGGGUAAAGUUGUACCACCUCUGCACAGUGUAAAACUGAUAUGUCAACCGUGCUCACGGUUAAGAGCAACCUGGACCCUCACAUGAUAAUUGAACUUAAAGAUGGAAAAUAAAUCGUGAUAUGAGGAUCUACCAGUGGUUUGAUUAAGUGAUUACACUUAAGUGUUUUUGAUACAAUCUUAUGCCUUUGAUUAAUUGGGAUAUUUGGGAUACACACUUAUUAGUAAGACAGGUGUUGCUAAUAAAAUAUUGACCAACUAAAAUGCUUACCACUUAUCCAUAGCCUACCUUGUUAACAUGCAUUAAUUUCCCCCACUUGCUGAGCCCCGACCAUAAGUGAGAUCACCCUUGCUAAUAUUUUGAUUAGAUGGUGAUGACGGAGACUUCGCAGAUGACGUUGAUGAGUUUUGAGUGUAACGAUGCGCCAGUCACCUUCCUGUGGAAGAGUGUCCAUGUUUAGUUCUGCCGUACUUUGAUUAUGAUACUUGUUAAGAUACAAUGUUUUGGAUGAUGUAAUAAAGUUACUCUACUCUCUUUACGCCUUUAUUGCAUUGUAUUUUGAUAUAUUACACUUGCGACAUCAACAUAUGUGUGGAAAAUGGAUCCUGGCCCACAUAUUCUAUGCAUUCGGUUUUGCCCCCAGAACUAGGUGUGGCAAUAUGUUGAGUUAUUUCAAAGAUAGAAGCAGUACAAACGUUAAUUUCAAACAAAAAUGGAACACGAAUUGGAUAAGUACUUCAAAUCAUAUGGCGUGUUUCCUGUGAUUCCAUGCAACGACUGAUUCAAAUUCCAUAUUUCUUGAGUUGUAGGAAUCAUUGUACAACUAAGAGGGAUCCACAAAGGUAACGGUGUUGGCAAAGCUCAAGUUUCUCUGUUUCAAAAGCUUAUUUCAAAAAAAAACAAAUCUUUGGACCUUUCGUGCGAGUCCAACUGGUUCGAGGUUUUGUUGUUGGACUUCCUCUCUGGUCAAAGGCACUUGAACCUACCCUCAGGCGUAGGUCAACUCGCCCAAGCCAAUGGAGCUCUCUGCUCAAAACGGGUUGAACUGACCCAAGGGUGGUUCAACCGAGUUUUCACCAUAGACCUCUUUGCUCAAACCCAGUUGAGUCGGCCCCUUUGGAGUUGUUCAACCACUAUCUCAGCAGUUGGUCGUUUUGCCAAACCUUGUAGCACAGUCUGGCAGCUGUAUUGUAAAGGAGGUUGAACCGGCCAGCUAGUGGCGGCUCAACUAUCCCUCGGUCAGAGGACCAUUCUGCAAAGUCCUGCUAAAUAGGCAGUUGAAUGGGCCCUUAGGGGCGGUUCAACCAGGGUAGGAUGAUUGAACUCCCCAAUUGAGUUGGCUUGUUGAACCAAGUUUAGUUUUGCUAAAAACUAGUUCAAUUGGCUUUGGGGUGUAGUUCAACCGCAUUUCACGCAAAAAGUUCGAACAGUCAACCCCAUUUGAGAGGCCCCUAUAUAUACACUCUCCUCUCUCUCUCCCCCCUCAUUUACUCCGGCUAACCAACACAUUCAUUGUUCACCAAACUUGAGACAAAAAGCUCUAACUUUUUCUCUCACACCCCAACUCUCUCCCUCGUCGAUGUUUGAGGCUAAAACCAGUUCAAUUGAUUGAAGGAGCCUUGGUGUGAGGUUUGAGUUCUUUGAUUUCAGACAUGGUUUUUGAUCUCCCUCCUCUUUAUCCAUCCCUUGAGCUUGUUGCAAACACUCUCUUGUGUGGGUUUGUUACUCUUUGAACCUCGUGUUCCAUGACGGUUGAGGUUGCUUAGGAGUCUCUGAAUUUGUGGACGACCCGAAGAAGUUUGUAUCACAUGCUCUUUGAGCAAGUUUGAGAAAGUGGUUGCAUUGACCUUGGUGGUCAGCCUGUGAAGGGCUAGGGCUGGAAAAGACCGGGCCGUAUGUGGGCUGCUCAACAGGGAUUAGGGCACCUUUGUGGUGUGGCCGAACCUUGGCAUAAAUCUCGUGUAUUUGUGUUGUUGCUUUGUUCAUGCGCUGCACUUUAUCUUUGUUAAGAAAGACAUCGAGCGAUUCGUUGUGUGUGUGGAUUUUCACUUAGAUUAUGCCCUGUGUUUUUCGAUUCAAAGAAUCUCUCAUUAUACUUCAUGUUGUUCUUAGCUAGAUCUAUUCUCUCAACUGGACUAGUUCAACAGCCCCUAGUAGCGUUUCAACCGGCCUACACUAAACUAUUGAUUUGACAUCAUUUCCAAGUUUUUGGUGAAUUUUUUAGGUGUAGCCUAUUUACCCCCUUCUGGGCUACUUUCAAUGGUGAAAAUAGUGAAGUUUUAUAUGGAGCUCAUCGGGUGUUCACUGUAAUGUCUGAAUCAAAAUCGCCACAUUCUAUCACAAGCCAUUCCCACCAAGAAAUCCAUGAGAUAAUAUUUGUAAAAUAGCAUCAUUUAGUCCAAUGUUGGUUAUGGAACCAAUUCCUAUAAUUAUGAAACCCAUGUGAGAUGCAGAGGAGUAGGCUAUUCUUUUUUUAAAAAAAUCAAUGACCAAGAGAGGUUAAAACUGCAUAGAUUAUUUGCACUGCUCCUAUUAUUACCAACCAAGGGGAAAAUAAACAAUGAGCAUGUGGUAACAAUUCCAUAUUGAACCUUAUCAAUCCAUAUCCUCCCAUUUUAAUAGAAUGCUGGCUAAAAGCAUACAUGUACUGUAAUGUGCUUCCCGAUGGGUAUCUGGUAACCAAGUAUGUUAAGCUAUUAUCGUGAAUUUGAUACCAUAAGCAAUAAGGAAACCAAAAUACAAAGCCGUUUUCGUGGAUUUUGACUUAGAUUUAUUAUUGCACAGACUUAGAGUAGCUCAUAGAAAAAGUUUGAUUCUAUUUAGAACAUGUUCAAUUAGUUAACAAUGUUUUGCUUAAUUUGAAGUACUUUUUCCUUUAACAAAGAAAUAACAUAAUAGAAGUAAUAAAAUAAUUAAUUUGUUGUGCUGGUUUUGGGAUUGUAUGAAUUCCAUUGAUCCCAAACACCUAAGUUGAUCCAUGGCAUAUGCAUAAUGUUGUCUAGAACCCUACUUAACUUGAUUAGCGAAAUAAUUAGGUUUUAUCGGAAAUCAAAUGCAACUUUACUGUGAAGGAAAGUUGUACUCAAGGUUUUGUCGUUUUAGAUUAUUUAUCUUGCACCUAUGUUCAUUCCAUCAUCACAUCAUGAUCAUAUCAUGCAACUUUACUUUACACGUAGAUUAUGUUACGACGAAUCGGUCAUAUUGUGAAGUAAUUCCCAGAGCCUUGUCUUCACUCAAUGGAACUAUUGGGUUUUCUUGGUCAUCUACUCUACACUACAACUAAUGCAAGCCCUAGUGCAUUCAACCCUGUUCCUUGUGUUUUAUAAAACUUUUACCCUAAAUAUAAUGCUUGAUGCAUUUAAGUUAGUAGGAAUUGGUUGAAUACUCGUUGUUGCAUGACUACCCUAGAAUUUCAAUACCUGUUCUUGUUACCGCUUUUGAAAAUGUUGUAAUCUAGAGGUGUAGCCUUGCAUAGCUCUAGAAGAUAGGGUUAACUUUGAAUUCUAUAAAGGCUCCCCAUUCUCCAACCCCUCAUAAAUCACUUCUCAUACUAUUUGCCAAACAAUUUUUGUUAGAUAGGUUCACUUCUGUUAGAGAAUCCCUCAGAAUCGCUCUAUUAGAGAAUCAACUCUCUAGCUACAGAAUCAUGGAGUAGAGCUCUAUCAAACGAGGACUUUUGAAACAAAAACCUAAACUCAUUUGUUGUAAUAGUAUUUUGAAAUAUAACUUUGAAAAUUUGGUUUUGAAAAAAGAGAAAAAGCCUUUUGGAGAUUUAGUUGAUGUUUUUGAAACUCUUUCUCCACAUAGUGAAAUUAAUGAAAAGGCAAGAAAUCCAAAAACAUAUAUGUUUCAAAUUAUAGGAAUUCUACAAAAUUCCAUAUAAUUCUCAAACAAACUAGCUAAACAAAUGUAUAAAACCUUUUAUAAAAACAAUAGAAAUUUAGUUAGUGUUGUCUAUUGAAAUUGCAAGAUGAUAACAUUGGUUCUACUAGGAUUAUGCGCAAAGGUAGCGACUUAUUCAAUCCAUGAGAACUUUAUUUAGCAUAUAUCAUCUAUAUAUAGGAGUCGCGCGGUUGGACGUUAUAUGAAUCACCUUGGAUCGAAUAAAACCAAUUAUUUGUUUUAUUUUUCCAUCGCUUAUAUAUAUAUAUGCACCAGAGAUUUUUGUGUUACCCUUGCAUAUAUGCAUGCAUGCAUGUGGAAUGAAUCCAAGUCUAAAAUUAGGCGCCUAAUGGUGACCUUCCAUAUAUUAGACACCUUAAUUAUUUGAAUUGGAUUUUGGAUGCAAACUAGCUUAUUAGCUAUCUAUAUAUAACAAGAUUAAAGAAGAAGACAGACAACCUAAUUAAAGAAUUUGAGGAGAGAAAGAAAGAAAGAGUGAUCGUCAUGGAGAGCAGGAGGAAGAAUCAACAGAAGACGAGCUACAUUGUAAUUUCCAUCCAGCUCCUAGCGGCCCUCCUACUCUUGGAGCUUGUGUCGCUAGUGCCGGGGGCGUCAUGCGAGGAGUUGCCCUUGGAUUUUUGGGUGAGUGCACUACGCGGGGUCGGGGCAAAGGACGUUUCAACAGCCGAUGGAUGCACCAAGAAGAAUAAGGACACCGUGCUCUGCUCUGCCCAGGCUAACACGGUAACCAAUUUCAUCAACCCUACCAACUCUGAGGAACAAGGCUAUAGGACCAUCGGGGAGUCCAUCGCUAACAUCCCUGAUGAUAGCACCAAACGGUACAUCCUCAUCCUCAGCGGUGGCACCGUGUACCGAGAGAAGGUAUUGGUGAGCAAAAGCAAGCCAUUCGUCACCAUAAGAUCAGAUGACCCCAUCAACCCUGCCAUCAUUGUGUGGAACGACACUGCCGCCACCCUGGGGAAGGAUAGCAAGCCCCUUGGAGUAGAUGGUAGUAGCACCAUGACCGUAGAGUCCGACUACUUCAUUGCCUAUGGUGUCGUCUUUAGGAAUGAUGCUGCAGCAGCAGCGAAGAAGAAGAAGGCAGAAGGCGAGGCGCCAGCGUUGCGGGUGCUAGGAACAUGUAAUACUCAAAUUUGUAUACACAGAAUACAGAGUAAAUUCCUCAAUUUCAUGUGCCAUAUUUGCAUCCUAGGAAAAGAGCACACACACAACUUAGAGAUUUAUUUAAACAAAUGAGAAAAAAAAAAUGCAUCAUGCUGGUUUUCAUUUUGUGUGCAUUUUGUGACAAUAUAACAAUAAUGUAAAAAAAAUAUGUUAAUACCCAAAUUAGGAUUUAAAUCCUAAAGAAGAUUCUAAUGUUGAAACAAGAGAAGAAAAUACCUUCAUAUAAGAUCAAAUAAAUAUAUAACUUAACCAAACCAGGUUCAUAUUGGUAUUUGGAAUUAUAGAGUGGAUUAAGGAUGAACUUCACACCUACAAAUUCAAAAUUUGGAAUUUAAUUUGAAUUUGAAGAAAAUAAGUAAAGGAAUAGGAAAAAUAAAAUAGAAAAGAAUAAAAUGGCGCAUUGGGCUCCCUGCUAUGAAUUUGGCCCACUAAGGAAUAACCCCUCGCGCGGCCCAACUACGACGCCUUGAGUGCGCCACGCCCCAGCGGACACCGACGGGCGGGCCCGGCCGCCAGCCGCUGUGCGGUCACGCUCCCCCGUCCCUGUGUCGCUGCCAGGUAGGCCCCUGCUGUCAGCGCUUUCUCCUCAACCGAAAGCUAUACUCCUCGCGAUCUCGGCGUGGAGCUCGCCCACCUCCGGGGUUUACGCCGACGACAAGUCCCAGCACCGCGGUAUAAAGUGUACCAUGCCCCGUGCUGACUUUUCCUCCUCCCCUGUGCUGCGCGCUCCCGUGAACCUUCCACAUACCCGCGCCGCGGAAUCCACACCGUCGGUAGAAACAUCGCCGCGCCACUCCUCGGGUUGCCGGCUCGGGCCACAUUUUCACCGUUUGGGUACGCUGUGGUGGUCCUCCCUGGUGUAGCGGGUCGGUUCGUCGCGAAGCCAGGCGGAAUCCCUGACUGUGGCGCCGGGAAUUCGACGCCGCCAUUGCAAAUCCGCGGAUCGUCGUGGGCGGACCUGGUGACGACAGGAAUCGUGGUGAGAACACAUGUCCCAAGUUCGCUACCUUCCCAAUUUCGUUUUGCAUCCGGGUUACGAGGGGGUCGGGUACCAGGGAACGCUGUUGGCAUUCCGGCCAUGGCCGCCGCCGCGCUGGCCUUGCGCGCCGCUGCGCUGGGUGGUCAGGCGGGGACGAUGCCCAUCCACCGUCGGAUCGCGCACGGGCGAUCGAGAUUAGACGAGGGAAUACCGGUUGCUGGCUUUGGUCGGAACCGUUGAUCGCCUGGUGCGCGGUCCAGAUUUAAUGGCAGAUGUCGUCUGGUCUGAAGUAGCGUGGCCGUCCGAUUCAGAUCGGACAUGCGAGGAUCGGUUUAGAGAUUUUAAAUCCGGGGCGUCGGGAUCAGAUCGGAGGGUGUAUAGCGCAUACCGGUUCACGUGAGUGGUGAGUCAAUCUGGGCGGUUGGUUUCUAAUCCAACGGCCAUAAUCGACCGAUACCCCUUCGCCAUGCCAUUUUGCAGAAAAGACCUUAUAAAUUUAGAGAAUCAACCCGCCAUCCACGCCAGGGACUCUCUGAGUCUUAGAAACACUUACACCGAGACCCCUGCGCUUUGCAGAUUUUGACGCCCAGUCCAGAGACUUAGAAAAUCAGAGAAAUAAAUACAUAAAUUGAUUUUUAAUAUAUAAAUAGGUGUUAGAAUUUGUAUAAAUCAUAGAAAAUGCAUAUGAACUCCAAAUUGGUCCAUUCCAGUUCCUAAAUUUUUGUAAUAAUAUUGCCUACCCAUUAGUGCCUUUGUUCUGGCAUGACAAACACAUUAAAAUUAUUCUUUCACUUAAUCUUAUAUUAAGUGCAUAAAACAUUAGAAAAUCCAUAACUUAAGAUCUAUAACUCCAAAUUUAAUGAUUCCAGUUCCUAUGAUCUUAUUUUAAUGUCUAGUUUAUUACUGUAUAUUUUAUUUGAAUGUUUGAUGUGAUGUUAAUUUGUGCUAUACUAUGUAUGUAUUGUGUUGAUGCGAAUAGACGAGCAAGCCACUGUGGAAACUGAGGUUCAGCAAGUAGAAACUGCUGAGCAGGAGCUCGUGGAAGGCAAGUUGUGCCCUUGAUCACUUCUUUUACCCAUUCAUGUUCUUAUUAUUCAUAAUGAUCUGCAUAGGAUAAUUUUGCUGGGACCCAAUAGGAUGCCCUAGAUUUUGACUAUCUUUAUACCUUGUUUCACCACUGGUUUUACUACUAAAUUUUUGGGUAGUACAUGCUAUUGCUUUAUGUGGCUUUGGGUAUAAAGAUAUUCAUCACUCAUUGUUAUUCUUUUUAUUAUCUGUUUAUUAUUAUUAUUCAUGAUAAGAUCAUUAUGUUAAUGGGAACAUGGAGAACCACCCGGGAAAACAGUGCUACCACAAGGGUAUAAUGGGACGCCCUUGGCUGAUUAACUAGGAAAGCUAGUGGAGGGCUGCCUUACCCGAAAGGGGCAAGGGCAGUAGGGGAGUGGUCAGUGUAGGGAGGUCCCUGGUUGAUUUUGCUGCGAUGGCAGUCAGUCAGGAACCCUGCAUUGGAACUUUCUAUAAACUGUAGCGGGUAGUCUGAAGCUAGUGGAACUUUGUAAAGGCCUCGUAGUGGUACCCUGCCUCGCUUCCUAGGUAGAGGUGUAUGGAGUCUGAUCAACUCCGUGGCAAAUGGGUAACACGACUUGUGGGUAAAGAUGCGCAACCUCUGCAGAGUGUAAAACUGGUAUACUAGCCGUGCUCACGGUCAUGAGCGGCUCGGACACUCACAUGAUUAAAUUAUGGAACUUAAACUUAAUCUGUCAUUUCAUUGCAUGUGGGAUUAUUUUAUUAUUACUUUUAUUUAUAUUUACUAUGGUUUGGUAUUCACUUACACUUAGUAACUGCUAAUAAAAUUUUGACCAACUUCUAAAAGCAAUGCUCAGCUUCAGCCUUUAUUUCAUUGAUCAGCCUUACACUUCAUGAACUCCCACCUUUGGUGAGUUCAUGUCACAUUAUUCCCCACAACUUGUUGAGCGAUGAACGUAUGUGAACUCACUCUUGCUGUCUCACACCCCCCCACAGGAGAAGAACAGGUGGUUCAGGAGGAGCCACAAGGCGAGGAGUAUGAUCUGUUCUAGGUGGCGUUUCUCAGUCGACAUUUGCGCCGACGAUCCUUAGUUCGUUUUAUGUUUAUUCUUUUAUUUUGUAUUAAGUCUUCCGCUAUGUAAUAAAUACUCUGAUGUUUUAUGACAUUUAUCUCUAUACACUCUGUUAUUAUAUAUGUUGUCUUCUUUGGCGCAUGUAUGAGAUGCACCCGGCUUUGUUCCUUAAAACCGGGUGUUACAGAAGUGGUAUCAGAGGAAAUGUUGACUGUAGGACGAAACCUAGAUAGAAAUGGACAAACCCUUACCUACUUAUCUUAUUCUGAUUCAUUCUAUACUUACCUUACUCUGAUUCUUUCUAUACUUAUCUCAUCUUGAUCCUAUCUCACCUUUUGCUACUCUACUCUGAUUAAUCUUUUCUUUUCUACUCUAAGACAAGAUGGAUUUCACACCUUGGAAUCCUACCACUAUGAUCUUUUUAAGAGAUAGGGAACCCAAGACAAAAAUUAAAACUAUUUUCUUUAAAAUGUUGUUUGAUUGUUCUGAUGACAAAUGCCUGAUUUGCUUCUUUGAUUGAUUGAAACAUUAUAGUUGGGCAUCUUAGCAUGUACCACCAUAAGGUAAUGUAUUAGCUUUAGUGGAUAACACACUACUCUACUUAGCCAAUAAAUCACCCGCAGUAACAUUUAUCGUAAAUAAUCGCCUUGUCUACAAUUCUUCCUUUCUUACCCUAUAUUCCUAACCCAAAUGUGCUACCCCUAUACUGUUAGAAGAGAGCAGUAUAGAUUUGAUCCUUGGUAUGUCAUGGUUAAGAAAGGCAAAGACAGUUUAUACACUGUGCUAAAGGAACCGUAGAACUCACCAGUUCCAAAGGACAAAGAUUUGAAGUUGAAGUUGCAGUAACCAUCACCAUCGGACUAGUGACAUUCUUAGUAGAUGAGAAGUUGGUGGGUGACAACAUCCGUACAGUUAGAGAUUUUCCGGAUGUCUUUCCAGAGGAGUUACCAGGGAUGCCACCUGAUAGAGAAGUUGAGUUUGUUAUUGAUCUCUUACCUGGAACCGCCCCUAUUUCUAAACGGCCAUAUAGAAUGUCCGUAGAGGAGUUGAAGGAACUGAAGAAGCAGUUGACGGAGUUACAAGAGGCUGGUUACAUUCGUCCGAGUUCCUCACCUUGGGGAGCACCGGUUUUGUUUGUACAGAAGAAGGAUGGAUCUCAGCGGAUGUGUGUGGACUAUAGAUCACUUAAUGAUGUUACAGUGAAGAACAAGUAUCCGUUACCCCGUAUAGAGGAUUUGUUUGAUCAAAUGCGAGGUGCUAGAGUGUUCUCGAAGAAUUGAUCUCCGAUCGGGUUACCAUCAGAUGAGGAUUAGGCCAUCGGAUAUUCCCAAGACAAUUUUAUCGACCCGAUAUGGUUUAUAUGAGUUCACUGUUAUGUUAUUUGGAUUAACUAAUGCACCAGCCUAUUUUAUGGAUAUGAAGAAUAAGGUGUUCAUGAUCUGGACAGAUUCGUCGUGGUUUUCAUUGAUGAUGUUCUUAUUUAUUCCAAGAGUGAUAGUGAUCAUAUGGAACAUCUGAUAUUGGUGCUACAGAAGCUACGAGAUAAUCAACUCUACGCUAAGUUCAGUAAGUGCGAGUUUUGGAUUGAUAAGGUGCCAUUUUUGGGACAUAUUAUUUCUAAUGGAGGAAUAGCAGUGGAUCCUGCUAAAGUGAAGGAGAUAAUGGAGUGGAGAGUGCCCAAUACAGUUACUGAGAUUCGGAGUUUCUUGGGACUCGCAGGAUAUUAUCGGAGAUUUAUUGAAGGAUUUUCUAAGGUUGCUAAGCCUAUGACUUCGCUUUUGGAGAAAGGGAGAGAAUUCAAGUGGGAUGAGAAGUGCCAAGAAAGCUUUGAACAACUAAAGGAGAGAUUGAUGUCUCCACCGGUGUUGGUUAUGCCAGAUCUACAUAAAGGAUUUGAUGUUUAUUGUGAUGCAUGUGGCCAAGGACUUGGAUGUGUGCUCAUGCAAGAAGGACAUGUGAUUGCCUAUGCAUCUCGUCAGUUGCGGAAACAUGAAUUGAACUACCCCACUCAUGACUUGGAGCUGGCUGCCGUUGUGCAUACACUUAAGAUUUGGAGACACUACAUUAUGGGAACUAAGUGCCAAGUAUACACAGAUCAUAAGAGCUUGAAGUACAUAUUCACUCAGAAGGAUCUCAACCUUAGGCAACGCCGUUGGUUGGAGCUCAUUAAGGAUUAUGAUUUGGAGAUUCACUAUCAUCCAGGCAAGGCGAAUUUGGUUGCAGAUGCCUUGAGUCGGAAGGAGCACGUUCAUUCUGCCUUCGUUGUCCAACUACCCGAUGAAUUGGCAAAAGAUUUUGAGAGACUCAACCUGGGAAUUGUUACACAUACAGAAGGAGUGACUAUUGAAUUGGAACCUACCUUGGAGCAAGAGAUUCGCAAAGGUCAGGUUGGUGAUGCUAAGAUUCAAGAGAUUAAGGAUCUGAUCACGGAUGGUCGAGUUCCGGAAUUCACGGAGGAUGAGCAAGGUACUAUAUGGUUCAAAGAUCGGAUAUGUGUUCCAGAGAUUGAUAGCCUCCGUGAGACUAUAUUGAAAGAAGCUCAUGAUUCUGAUUACUCAAUCCACCCUGGUAGCACUAAGAUGUAUCAGGAUUUGAAGCAAAAGUAUUGGUGGUAUGGACUGAAAAGAGAUGUUGCUGCUCAUGUGGCUAAGUGUGAUGUGUGUCAAAGAGUUAAGGCCGAACAUCGAAGACCAGUUGGACUAUUGCACCCGUUGAAGAUACCCGAGUGGAAAUGGGAAGAGAUUGGUAUGGAUUUUAUUGUUGGACUACCCCGCACCCCUGCUGGGUAUGACUCUAUUUGGGUGAUUGUAGACAGAUUGACAAAAGUGGCUCAUUUUAUACCUGUGAGGACUAAUUAUACGGGAGCCAAGCUAGCAGAAUUGUAUAUGACUCGGAUAGUUUGCCUACAUGGAGUACCUAAGAAGAUCGUGUCUGAUCGAGGAUCACAGUUUACUUCUCGAUUUUGGAAGAAGUUGCAUGAGAGCUUGGAUACAAAGUUGAAUUUUAGUUCGGCCUACCAUCCUCGGACUGAUGGAUAGACUAAAAGGACUAAUCAAGUACUGGAGGAUAUGUUAAGAGCUUGUGCUCUCAAGCAUGGUGGCAGUUGGGAGAAGAGCUUACCAUAUGCUGAGUUUUCUUAUAAUAAUAGCUACCAGGCCAGUUUGAAGAUGUCACCAUUUGAGGCUCUAUAUGGCAGAAAGUGCAGGACUCCACUGUAUUGGGAUCAGACUGGUGAAAGACAGAUCUUUGGGCCUGAACUUAUUUAAGAGGCAGAAGAACAAGUCCGUAUAAUUCGAGAGAAUUUGAAGGUAGCUCGGACCAGGCAAAAGAGCUACGCUGAUAAUAGAAGAAGACCACUCGAAUUGAGGAAAGUGAUCAUGUGUACCUCAAGGUGUCACCACUUCGUGGAAUGAGGAGAUUUAAAGUCAAGGACAAAUUGUCCCCUCGCUUUAUUGGACCCUUCUUAAUCUUAAAGCGAGUGGGAGAGGUUGAUACCAAUUGGAGUUACCGGAUCAUCUUGCGGAUGUUCAUGAUGUAUUUCACGUAUCUCAGCUGAAGAAAUGUCUCAGGGUACCUGAGGAACAACUACCAAUGGAAGACCUUAGUGUUCAAGAGGAUCUAACUUAUGCUGAGUACCCCAUCAAGAUUUUGGAUACUUUGACUCGAGUCACGAGGAAUAAGGUUAUAAAGAUGUGCAAAGUGCAAUGGAGCCACCACAGUGAAGAUGAAGCAACUUGGGAAAGAGAAGAAGAGCUUCGUAUAGAUUUUCCCCACCUUUUCCCUAGAUCUUCUUAAAUCUCGAGGACGAGAUUAUUUUUAAGGGGGGUAGGAUUUGUAAUACUCAAAUUUGUAUACACAGAAUACAGAGUAAAUUCCUCAAUUUCAUGUGCCAUAUUUGCAUCCUAGGAAAAGAGCACACACACAACUUAGAGAUUUAUUUAAACAAAUGAGAAAAAAAAAUGCAUCAUGCUGGUUUUCAUUUUGUGUGCAUUUUGUGACAAUAUAACAAUAAUGUAAAAAAAAUAUGUUAAUACCCAAAUUAGGAUUUAAAUCCUAAAGAAGAUUCUAAUGUUGAAACAAGAGAAGAAAAUACCUUCAUAUAAGAUCAAAUAAAUAUAUAACUUAACCAAACCAGGUUCAUAUUGGUAUUUGGAAUUAUAGAGUGGAUUAAGGAUGAACUUCACACCUACAAAUUCAAAAUUUGGAAUUUAAUUUGAAUUUGAAGAAAAUAAGUAAAGGAAUAGGAAAAAUAAAAUAGAAAAGAAUAAAAUGGCGCAUUGGGCUCCCUGCUAUGAAUUUGGCCCACUAAGGAAUAACCCCUCGCGCGGCCCAACUACGACGCCUUGAGUGCGCCACGCCCCAGCGGACACCGACGGGCGGGCCCGGCCGCCAGCCGCUGUGCGGUCACGCUCCCCCGUCCCUGUGUCGCUGCCAGGUAGGCCCCUGCUGUCAGCGCUUUCUCCUCAACCGAAAGCUAUACUCCUCGCGAUCUCGGCGUGGAGCUCGCCCACCUCCGGGGUUUACGCCGACGACAAGUCCCAGCACCGCGGUAUAAAGUGUACCAUGCCCCGUGCUGACUUUUCCUCCUCCCCUGUGCUGCGCGCUCCCGUGAACCUUCCACAUACCCGCGCCGCGGAAUCCACACCGUCGGUAGAAACAUCGCCGCGCCACUCCUCGGGUUGCCGGCUCGGGCCACAUUUUCACCGUUUGGGUACGCUGUGGUGGUCCUCCCUGGUGUAGCGGGUCGGUUCGUCGCGAAGCCAGGCGGAAUCCCUGACUGUGGCGCCGGGAAUUCGACGCCGCCAUUGCAAAUCCGCGGAUCGUCGUGGGCGGACCUGGUGACGACAGGAAUCGUGGUGAGAACACAUGUCCCAAGUUCGCUACCUUCCCAAUUUCGUUUUGCAUCCGGGUUACGAGGGGGUCGGGUACCAGGGAACACUGUUGGCAUUCCGGCCAUGGCCGCCGCCGCGCUGGCCUUGCGCGCCGCUGCGCUGGGUGGUCAGGCGGGGACGAUGCCCAUCCACCGUCGGAUCGCGCACGGGCGAUCGAGAUUAGACGAGGGAAUACCGGUUGCUGGCUUUGGUCGGAACCGUUGAUCGCCUGGUGCGCGGUCCAGAUUUAAUGGCAGAUGUCGUCUGGUCUGAAGUAGCGUGGCCGUCCGAUUCAGAUCGGACAUGCGAGGAUCGGUUUAGAGAUUUUAAAUCCGGGGCGUCGGGAUCAGAUCGGAGGGUGUAUAGCGCAUACCGGUUCGCGUGAGUGGUGAGUCAAUCUGGGCGGUUGGUUUCUAAUCCAACGGCCAUAAUCGACCGAUACCCCUUCGCCAUGCCAUUUUGCAGAAAAGACCUUAUAAAUUUAGAGAAUCAACCCGCCGUCCACGCCAGGGACUCUCUGAGUCUUAGAAACACUUACACCGAGACCCCUGCGCUUUGCAGAUUUUGACGCCCAGUCCAGAGACUUAGAAAAUCAGAGAAAUAAAUACAUAAAUUGAUUUUUAAUAUAUAAAUAGGUGUUAGAAUUUGUAUAAAUCAUAGAAAAUGCAUAUGAACUCCAAAUUGGUCCAUUCCAGUUCCUAAAUUUUUGUAAUAAUAUUGCCUACCCAUUAGUGCCUUUGUUCUGGCAUGACAAACACAUUAAAAUUAUUCUUUCACUUAAUCUUAUAUUAAGUGCAUAAAACAUUAGAAAAUCCAUAACUUAAGAUCUAUAACUCCAAAUUUAAUGAUUCCAGUUCCUAUGAUCUUAUUUUAAUGUCUAGUUUAUUACUGUAUAUUUUAUUUGAAUGUUUGAUGUGAUGUUAAUUUGUGCUAUACUAUGUAUGUAUUGUGUUGAUGCGAAUAGACGAGCAAGCCACUGUGGAAACUGAGGUUCAGCAAGUAGAAACUGCUGAGCAGGAGCUCGUGGAAGGCAAGUUGUGCCCUUGAUCACUUCUUUUACCCAUUCAUGUUCUUAUUAUUCAUAAUGAUCUGCAUAGGAUAAUUUUGCUGGGACCCAAUAGGAUGCCCUAGAUUUUGACUAUCUUUAUACCUUGUUUCACCACUGGUUUUACUACUAAAUUUUUGGGUAGUACAUGCUAUUGCUUUAUGUGGCUUUGGGUAUAAAGAUAUUCAUCACUCAUUGUUAUUCUUUUUAUUAUCUGUUUAUUAUUAUUAUUCAUGAUAAGAUCAUUAUGUUAAUGGGAACAUGGAGAACCACCCGGGAAAACAGUGCUACCACAAGGGUAUAAUGGGACGCCCUUGGCUGAUUAACUAGGAAAGCUAGUGGAGGGCUGCCUUACCCGAAAGGGGCAAGGGCAGUAGGGGAGUGGUCAGUGUAGGGAGGUCCCUGGUUGAUUUUGCUGCGAUGGCAGUCAGUCAGGAACCCUGCAUUGGAACUUUCUAUAAACUGUAGCGGGUAGUCUGAAGCUAGUGGAACUUUGUAAAGGCCUCGUAGUGGUACCCUGCCUCGCUUCCUAGGUAGAGGUGUAUGGAGUCUGAUCAACUCCGUGGCAAAUGGGUAACACGACUUGUGGGUAAAGAUGCGCAACCUCUGCAGAGUGUAAAACUGGUAUACUAGCCGUGCUCACGGUCAUGAGCGGCUCGGACACUCACAUGAUUAAAUUAUGGAACUUAAACUUAAUCUGUCAUUUCAUUGCAUGUGGGAUUAUUUUAUUAUUACUUUUAUUUAUAUUUACUAUGGUUUGGUAUUCACUUACACUUAGUAACUGCUAAUAAAAUUUUGACCAACUUCUAAAAGCAAUGCUCAGCUUCAGCCUUUAUUUCAUUGAUCAGCCUUACACUUCAUGAACUCCCACCUUUGGUGAGUUCAUGUCACAUUAUUCCCCACAACUUGUUGAGCGAUGAACGUAUGUGAGCUCACUCUUGCUGUCUCACACCCCCCCACAGGAGAAGAACAGGUGGUUCAGGAGGAGCCACAAGGCGAGGAGUAUGAUCUGUUCUAGGUGGCGUUUCUCAGUCGACAUUUGCGCCGACGAUCCUUAGUUCGUUUUAUGUUUAUUCUUUUAUUUUGUAUUAAGUCUUCCGCUAUGUAAUAAAUACUCUGAUGUUUUAUGACAUUUAUCUCUAUACACUCUGUUAUUAUAUAUGUUGUCUUCUUUGGCGCAUGUAUGAGAUGCACCCGGCUUUGUUCCUUAAAACCGGGUGUUACAGAACAAAGGCAACCUUCUACAACUGCACAAUUGAAGGUGGACAAGGCGCCCUGUAUGACCAGAUGGGGCUGCACUACUUCAAGUCCUGCACCAUCAGGGGCACCAUCGACUUCAUCUUUGGCUCUGCCAAGUCCUUUUACGAGGACUGCGCCAUUGUUUCCGUGAACAACAUGGAGGAGAUCAUGACCUUGCCUGUGGCACCACCUCAACUUGACAUUCACGACAAUCCAAUCAAGGUUGCCCCAGGGAAGGGAGGCUUCUCCUUCAAGACAUGUACCAUCACCGGGGAAGGGCAACAAAUCUUCCUCGGAAGGAUGGGCACGCCUUCCAUCUACUCCUACACCCAGAUUGCUAAGGAGGUUGUGCCCAUAAUCUACGACAAAGGGAACAUCUUCAUGCCCAGUAAUAUGUAUGCCGACCCAUGCAUGCAGCAAAAUCUCUCUCUCUCUCUCUUUAUAUAUAUAUAUACACUUGUUAUCUCAUAUCUAUAUCUAUGCAGGACUGGUAGACGAUGUGCCACUUUCAAGUGCUAUGGACCUGGGUUAGAGAAAAUAUGGCACGUCAAACUUAGAUACGCUGAAGCCAUAUACUUUCUUGGGACAGAUUUUAUCAACGGAGAUUCAUGGAUCCUGUCCAUACCAC